CCACUCAAUUGAUUAAAGGAGAGGUCAAGGAUUGCAAGGUUGGUGAGGUUGAAAAUUUUCUCACUUAUGGCUCCAUGGAGUGAAUUGAAAGGGAAUGCAAUUUCUUCGAUUUUCGUGGCAUUGUAGAUAUCUUUCGGCAGUAAUCCUGAGAGGUUAUUGUUACCAGCACGAAAAAUUUGCAAUUUUGAACACCCCCCGAGUCCAGGAGAAAUGUUGCCACUGAAUGCAUUGAGGGAAAAAUCCAACAACCUAAUCAAGGGAGAAGAAUGAAUACAUAUAGAGGAUGGGAUCAAACCUGAGAAGCUAUUGUUGUGGACGUUGAAACUAGUUAAGUUCCGAGCUUUUUGAAAGAAUGACGAUGGAAUUGCACCAUGGAAGCGAUUGCUUGACAAAUCCAACGUCUGUAUAUUGUGUGAUGGCAUAGAAAAUGGUAGCUUUCCAGAAAGAAGAUUAAAACUCAAAUCAAGGAUCUCAAGAUGAUCCAAAGACAAGAAGAAUUCAGUUCCAAGUGAUUCGGAAAUUGAAUUGUGAGAGAGAUUCAUGUGGGUGAGGUGUGUGAGAUUUCCAAGUGAUGCUGAUGAGGGGGAAAUAGCUCCUUUUAGACCUUUGGAGGAUAAGAGCAAAUGAGUGACCAAACCAUCCUGAUUACAAGUGAUGCCUUUCCAACGACAACAGUUAACUGAAUUCCAAUUUAAAGGAUGAGAAGAUAGGGUGGAGGCGAAGGACAGAAGAGAGCGGCGCUCAAUUUGGUGGCAUGCAUGAACAUUUGUAGUGAUGAUGUGAGAGAAUAAGAGGAUGAGAAGGAAGCCAUGAGCCAUUGGGUUAGAAAUUAAGCUGCUAUAGCAUACAUAUGUUUUUUUACAUUCGGAAUUCUCAAUGGUUUGGGUAUAUAUAGAGCAAGUAAUUGCAAUACAUAAUAUGAAAUUCUUGAGUAAAUUGUAGCAAUGGUCCCUCAACUUUAAUCCAAUUGGAACAAUGGUCCCUCAACUAAAAAUCUAUUACCAUUGGUCCUUCAACUUAUCAAAACGUGCAUCUAUGCUCCUUUUUGUCAACUCCGUUAGAACUUCCGUCAAAAUAAUCACGUGUCAUGCACGUAGGCUAAAUCAAGGGGCAAAUAUGAAAAAUCAAAUAAGAAAAAUUGUUUCAAUGGUCCCUCAACUUUAAUUCAACUAGAGAAAUGGUCUCUCAACUUUAACCCAAUUGGAGCAAUGGUCCCUCAAUUUUAACCCAAUUGUAGCAAAGGUCCUUCCAACGCAACUCAUUUUGACAAAAUUCUUAUGGAGUUGACAAAAAUGACCAUAGCUACACGUUUUGAUGAGUUUAAGGACCAAUGGUAAUGAAUUUUUAGUUGAGGGACCAUUACUCAAAAUUGAUUAAAGUUGAAGGACCAUUGCUACAAUUUACUCGAAGUUAUUUUCUGUCUUCCUUUUAGCUUGAACACGCUAGAGGCAAACAUUCGGACACGCUGGCGGCAAACAUCACUGCAAACUGAGAAAUUGGCAAACAACCAUAACCCUACAAAUGUUCCAAAGUCCUCUAUACGUCGAAUAGAUAUUUCGCACAUGAAGACAUUGGUUCUGAAUUAAGGAGGGGCCACCUUGAAAGGACCAGAGCUAAUGUUAAAGUCUUGCUUGAAGAAAUUAUGCCUUUGUUUCUACGCGGUAAUUGAAAAAAAAAAAAAAAGCAUUGAAAAAAAAAGGGAGCAUUGAAUUUAAGGGAGUAGAAUAAUAUGAAGUGACACCAAACGCUUAUUUUCGUACGAAUGUGGUUUUUAUUACAAUCAACCUUUCGUAUACGGCAUGCCAAAACCUGAAGUGACUCGGGGCUGGUUUGGUAUUGCUGUGCUUUGAAAAAAAGCUGCUGUGAGAAUAAGCGGCUGUGAAAUAAAUCAGCAGAGUGUUUAGUAAACUUUUUUGUAAAAGUGCUUUUGGAAAAAAAAAAGUAGUCUAAUAGUGAGUCUUUUCAUUAAAGAAGCAUUGUAGCUCCGUGUACUUUGAAAAAAAGCCAGUUUUCCAAAGCUGCAAAUAGCAGCUUCAGCUUUUUCCUUUGAUUUCAGCUUAUUCUCACAGCAGCUUCCAAAAUAAGCCUUUUUUUUUCAGUUUACCAAACACCUAAAACCCUCACAGCUUUUUUUCAUGGAUGCUUUUUUUUUAAGCACCUCACUCCCAAACUAGGUCUCAAUUGACUACUUUAAAUGUAUCUAUCAAGCGAAACUGAACCUGAACACCUCCAAGAACUUUCCCCACACCUUAAGCCUUCAAUUGACUACUUUAAAUGUAUCUAUCAAGCGAAACUGAACCUGAACACCUCCAAGAACUUUCCCCACACCUUAAGCCUUAAACCCUGAACCCUAAACUUUCCCCACACAGGAAACCAUGUUGAGAAAGAAUUUGACUCAGCAUACUCAAAGUAGACAUUCAAAAAUAGGUUUUGUAGCUAAAUUGGUAUAUAAGAUUGACGUAACUUCUUAGUUUGGUCUCUAGCAAUUAAAAUUAACAGAUGUGGUCCCUGAUCUUAUCUAUCAUAAAUCAUUUUAAUCAUUCCAUAAAAAAAUCCAUCAAUUAUUCUGUUAAUAUGAUGAUGUGACGUCACGUGGGUCCCAUAAAUCCAUCAUCUUCAUCUUGGAAGUGAACCCAGAUCAAAAUCUUCCAAAAAAAUAAAACAUUGAUCUGGACAAACUCCAAAUAAUUGACAAACAAUUUACGAUAAACAAGAUCAGUGACCAAUUUUAUCGCUUUUCAUUGUUAGAACCAAAUUGAGAAGUUAUACGAUUAUCAGAGAUCAUUUAGGCUAAAAAGCCUUUAAAAUAUAAUAUUUCAAAUUUUAAAAUAUGAACCAUAAGAAGAAAAAUCUAUAACAUAAGAAAAUCCAAGAGAGAUUUUCCACUUUGAAGAUGACAUUGGAUUUGAAGGAUGGGCCAGCAUGAAAGGACCAGACCUCCUAAUUUUUGCAAAUUUGCCCAAGAUGAAGACAACCACAUUAAAAGAACUAAUGCCUUUCCUGUUAGGUAAUUGAAAAAAAGAUCAGAACAUUGAAUUUUGGGAAAAGUAUUGCUACAAUAGAGUGACGUCUAUCCAUGGUUAUGUAGAAAUGUUAACAAAAUUGAAGUGUGUUUACAGAAAAUGCUAAACAUGGCCUGAAUUGACUCAUAGUAGUCAUCCAAAAAUAUCAAAUUUUAAAAUAUGAACCAAAAGACAAAAUCAUAAAAUAUAACAAAAUCCUAGAACUAACCAGAGUAUAUUUGAGUCCAUGAGUUGACUCAGUUGAGCUACUUAGUCAUGCAGCCUUUCGUAUCUUGCUAUGUUUAUUCCUUCUGCAGUCUCUUUUGGUCCAAGCAACAUCAACAAUGUAUUGAUUCAAGUGCUGACCAAUAUUUUUGUAGAUAAUGACUACGUGACAUGCCGUCGUGCUUCUAUACCCUUUCUCUGAGCCAUCUGCGGGUGCGUUAUGAACUAUGAGUUUAACCAUAACCAAGGAGAACUCUCUUGGGAUACUGUAUUAAGGACAAAAGUGUAAAUAUCUCUUCAAGAGAUAAAUCUUAGAGACUAAGUAAUUGUUACAAGUUGUUAGGACAGUUAGUUUUUUUGUUAGACUUGUCUUACAUGUAUAUAUACUCAAGGUGUAAUAUUAUUGAGGUUAAGGAAAUGAAAAUAUAUUUUUCUAAUAUGGUAUCACCGCCUUUUUUGGUCUAACGACCGCCUCUCCUUUUUCGAUCCAAACUCUUCCGCUUCCCGCUUUGAUCUUCUUCCCCGAUUUGUCUUCUUUCUCUUUUCCCAACUUCAAACCCUAGCCAUGGCGACUAGUGCAUCUCCGUCCUCUGAUGCCGAUUCUCAUCGCUCUUCCUCCACCUCUUCUGCAAUUACAUCCAUUACGAUUCAAAAUAUUGGAUCUCUGGUCCCGAUUAAGCUCACUACUACGAAUUAUCUGACAGUGCUCUUUUUGCUCCGAUCUUCCGUCGAUAUAAUCUCACUGGUUUGAUCGAUGGAUCCAUGGCGGCACCACCUCAAUUUCUUCCUGAUGCCUCCAGAAAUUGUACUACGACAUUGAAUCCGGAUUUUGUGACUUGGUUCGAGAAUGAUCAGAACAUUCUCAUUUGGUUAAAUUCAACACUCUCGGAGUCUCUCAUUCCCUACACCGUUGGUGUUACCUCUGCUCGUGAGCUUUGGGCUAAAUUGGAAUCCCGCCUUGCCACCGCCUCUCAGUCGCAUAUUCAUGAGCUCCGAUAUCGCCUUCGCAAUCUUUCCAAAGGUGAAUCCACGGCUGCUCAGUAUCUUCAGAAAAUUGAAGAAAUUGUUGAUGCUCUUGCCAGUGCCGGUGCACCGGUUGAUGAUUAUGAUCUCAUCUCUGUCACUCUGCAUGGCCUGCCUCCUGAAUUUGAUUCGUUUGUUGAUGCGAUACAAUUUCGCCUUGGAUCUACAACGAUUGAUGAACUUCAUGGCCUCUUGAUCAGCAAAGAAAUUCAACUCAAUAGUCGCAAGCCUUUGUCAUCUGCGCCCCCUUUUCAGGCUUUCUCAUCCUCCCCUGGUAUUCUGCCUACACCGCCUCAAGCAUUCACUGCUCAGAAUUUUGCAAAUUCCACAACCGCCAGUCGUGGUGUGGAUCGAAAUUCAAGGAAUUACUCCUCCAAUCGAGGCAAUUUUCGUUCAAACAACAAUAACAAUCAGCGGCAAUUUUCGUAUCGCCCAAAUUAGAGGCCAACCUAUCAUAAUAAUCGUGGAAGUCGUCACAACUUUUCAAUUUUCUAGCAAAGAAAGUUCCUUGUCAAAUCUGUCGCCAAUUUGAUCAUGAAGCUUGGGACUGUCCUCAUCGCGCAUGAAUGCACAUUAUGGUGUGAAAUCCUCUUCCUCUGCAAUGGGUGGCGAACACCUCUACUUCUGCUCCUACUUGGAUUGUAGACUCAGGGGCUACAUCUCACAUGACCAAUUCUUAUGGCAAUCUUCAGAAUCCAGAAGCAUAUACCGGACCUGAACAAGUUUAUAUUGGCGAUGGAAAAGGUUUAUCCAUAUCUCAUUCUGGCUCUUCUCUUUUGCCUACUGCAUAUCAUAAUUUUCGUUUACAAAAAUGUGCUUCAUGUUCCUGAUCUUAAGCACAAUCUACUUUCUGCAAACAAAUUUUUUAAUUGACAACUGGUGCUCAAUGCAUCUUUAUCCUUUUUCACUUCACUGUGAAGGAUCUUUCUUCGGGAAUGACGCUUUUUAAAGGUCCUGUCAACGAAGGUUUCUAUCCUUUUCAUCCUGCUUCAUCCUCUGCUGUGCAUCCCAAGGCUUUGACUGCAACUGUUAAGGCUUCAAAUACUGUGUGGCAUCAACGAUUGGGCCACCCCUCUGUGAAGAUUUUGCAUAAAUUGGCUGCCAAUUCUUGUAUUUCCAUUUCAAAUAGUAGAAAUAAGGCUUUUUGCUCAGAUUGUGCAUUAGGCAAGUGUUCUAGACUUCCUUUUGUAUCUACUCCUUGCACUACAAGUAAACCUCUAGAACUUGUUCACACGAAUGUUUGGGGGCCAGCACCUGUGUCUUCUCUUAAUGGUUCUAGAUACUAUGUACUGUUUGUGGAUGAUUACACCAAGUACACUUGGUUUUUCCCUUUGAAAUACAAAUCUGAUGUCUUCUCUGUGUUUGUGCAUUUCAAGACUCUUGUUGAAAACUUUCUGUGUACUAAACUCAUUGCUCUAAGAUCUGAUGCUGGAUGUGAGUUCAUGAGUACUUCGUUCUCUCAGUUUUUAGUGGAUAAUGGCAUUCAACAUCAACUUAGUUGUCCUCAUACACCUGAGCAGAAUGGGUGUGCCGAAAGGAAACAUAGACACUUGGUUGAAACUGCAAGGACUUUGUUGGCAGCUUCUCAUGUCCCUCAUUUCUAUUGGGUUGAUGCUUUUGCCACUGCAAUUUAUCUCAUCAAUCGAUUACCUACGGCAUCAAAAUCUUCACCUUGGGAGUUAUUAUUUCACAAAGUUCCAAAUUACAGUACUCUUCGAGUGUUUGGCUGUGCUUGCUUCCCUUGGUUACAACCCUAUUCUCCUUCCAAGCUACAUCCAAAGAGCAAGUUAUGUAUUUUCUUGGGUUAUAGUCUACAUCAUAAAGGAUACAAAUGUCUUGACCCAGUGACCAAGAGAAUCUACAUCUCUCGGCAUGUUCUCUUUGAUGAAACUCGGUUUCCCUGUCACCAUCCUUUAGUCCCUGCUCCUACCACUCCUCCUCCAUCUCCUUCUUCGCACAUCCCAUCCUCUCUCACAUUUACCACUCCCAUUUCCUCUCCUUCUUCUUUAUCCAUUCCUGCUGCAUCACCACCCUCUCCACCCUCUCCUCCACCUUCUGCCUUAUCCCGAUCUCAGCAACCCCCUUCCCUCUCCACAGAAUUACAAGUUUCCUCCCCUCCUCAUCAACCCUUACCAUCUUCCUUACCUUCCUCUAAUCAUUACCAGAUGCAAACUCGGUCCAAAUCUGGAAUAUUCAAACCUAGGGCAUUCACAGUCACAAAGCAUCCAAUUUCCACUCAUGUCUCUUCUGAUUAUACUCCUCAUACCUACCUGCAAGCAUCCAAACAUCCUCACUGGCGCAAAGCAAUGCAAGACGAGUAUAAUGCUCUUCUCAGCACAGGUACAUGGUCUUUAGUCCCUUCUAUAUCAUCUCACAAUAGUGUAGGCUGCAAGUGGGUAUUCAAAAUAAAGAGGAAUCUGGAUGGGUCUAUUGACAGAUACAAGGCCCGAUUGGUUGCAAAAGGCUACAAUCAACAUGAGGGCUUGGACUAUUCUGAGACUUUUAGUCCCGUGGCCAAACCAGUUACCAUCCGCAUACUUCUCACUCUUGCUUAUCAAUUUGAUUGGUUUCUCAACCAACUUGAUGUUAGCAAUGCUUUUCUGCAUGGUACUCUUACCGAAUCUGUGUUUAUGCAACAACCUCCUGGAUUUGAGGAUGCCACCAAGCCUCAUCAUGUUUGCCAUCUUCACAAGUCUCUCUAUGGUUUGAAACAAGCUCCUCGAGCUUGGUAUGAAAAGUUGUAUGGUGCUCUUGUUUCCUUGGGAUUUACUGGUUCCCAAAAUGAUCAUUCCUUGUUCAUUAAAAAGGAUCCCCAUUUGGUCUUUGUCUUAGUCUAUGUGGAUGACAUUUUAGUCACUAGACCCUCUUCUGCAGCAUGUCAAACAGUGAUCAAGAAAUUAAGCAGUUUGUUCCCUGUUAAAGACCUUGGUUCGUUGCAUUAUUUCUUAGGCAUUGAAGUCAAGAGGUCAUCUUCUGGGAUCUUUCUUAAUCAAUCAAAAUACAUUCUUGAUCUUCUACACAAGUCUCAUAUGGAUUGAGCCAAACCUUGUGCAACACCCCUGAGUACAGACAAGCUUGAUCAUGACUCUCCACUUCUUGACAAUCUUACUGAAUACAGGUCUUUGGUAGAAGCAUUACAGUAUCUCACCUGGACUCGUCCUGAUUUGAGCUUUGCUAUUAAUCUGGUUUGUCAGUACAUGCAUCGUCCUCGAGUCUCUCAUCUUCAAGCUGUCAAAAGAAUCCUUCGGUACUUAAAAGGUACUAUUGAUUUGGGGUUAUGGUUCUCUAAAACUUCAGCUCCCUUGGAUAUUCAAGCAUUCUCUGAUGCUGAUUGGGCAGGUUGCCCUUUAGACAGGAGAUCCACUGGUGGCUUUUGUAUUUUUCUUGGGAGUUCUCUUAUCAGCUGGAGUGCUAAAAAGCAACCAACAGUGGCAAGAUCAUCCACUGAAGCUGAAUACAGGUCCCUUGCUCAUACUGCUGUAGAACUGUCCUGGAUUUCAAAAAUUUUAACUGAUAUUGGCUACUCUCUUCCUUGUGUUCCUCAGCUGUGGUGAUAAUAUCUCUGCCAUUUCUCUGGCAAAGAAUCCUAUUUUUCAUGCUCGCACAAAGCAUGUCGAAAUAGAUUAUCAUUACAUACGGGAGAAAGUUUUAGCCAACCAAGUUGCUAUCCGUUUUGUGUGUUCACAAGAUCAGAUUGCUGAUAUUUGUACUAAGCCUCUGUCCAAAUCCCGAUUUACACUUCUCCGAUACAAACUCUCUCUUCGGCUCCCUCAGUUUCGUUUGAGGGGGGAUAUUAAGGACAAAAGUGUAAAUAUCUCUUCAAGAGAUAAAUCUUAGAGACUAAGUAAUUGUUACAGGUUGUUAGGACAGUUAGUUUUUUUGUUAGACUUGUCUUACAUGUAUAUAUACUCAAGGUGUAAUAUUAUUGAGGUUAAGGAAAUGAAAAUAUAUUUUUCUAAUAUACAGUUACAUAGAAAUUUCGUUUCACCAUUCUUAACGGUCUCUACAGGGCCCCCACUGUUGCACGCAAUGCCAGGUUUAUGAGAAGCCAUUGCCAGAUCGUACAAUGCCAAAGUGUUCAUCCUACAUUUUGAAAUAUCUUAUAUCAAUUUCAUAUUUCCCACAAUAUCUGACAACAGAACAAAAUUAUGUAGUUUUCACCUUUGGCGUAUAAAGGAGGCAUAGGCGUUGGGAGAGAAGUGCAUUAGCAAGAGGUGAUGAGGGAGAGAAGUGCAUUAGCAAGAGGUGAUGAAGUUAAACUUGAUUAGACACUCUUGAAGAAAUUAUGAUUUCACCGUAAAAUCAAUUGGUAAUAUAGAGAAUAGUCCAACUUAUAUAUAAGCUUAUGCAAAGUCCCUCGACUCCCUCCUUCCAAGCAUAUAGGAUUCAUUCUCAACAGUACGCCUCCGCCCUCACGUAUGACGAAUUUAACACAUGUGGACAACACAACAGGAUGAUGUGAAGUGCGUGUGGCAAUUUGGCUUUACACGUGAGACACCGAUAUCAUGAAGAAAUUGAGGUUACAUCAUAAAAUCAAUUUGGCAAUAUGAGAAUAACCUAACUUGCCCAUGCAAAUCCCUCCUCCCAUCAAUAUGGGAUUCAUAUUCAACAACUCCUUCCCUUUCUGCUAGACUUGUGAGCUCCUCUAAUUACUCAACAUUUUCUCUCAAACGAUUAUCGAAGCCACCUGAAACAUGAUAUAUUAUAUUUAUCAUUCUCAAACAUGCAGAAGAUAUGCAGCUCUACCAAUCAAUUAGGGAAUGAUACAUGGGUAUAGGGUGAAGCUACAUAGGGACAAGGAGGGGCGGCCGCCCCUCCACUCGUCGGAAAUCUCCACGAAGAGUAAGAAUUCCGCCCCUCUGUUCUUUUGAACUUUCCAGAUUUCUGGGUUUGGUUGUGCAGCGGUGCUGCACUGGUGCGCUGAUGACUUGUGUGUUUUAAUUUUUAGAGAACGAAAUCAGAAAAAAAAAAUAGUUGCAGAGUGGCGGAACUUGCAAAGAAGAUGAAGGCUUAUCUAUUUGAUAUUCCCUACACCUACACGGUGUCAUUUGACAAAAGAAAUUGGAUUUCUCUCUACCGACCUUUUGUUUACCUUUUUUUUCGCUUAAAAUUUGACCAACCUUUUUUAACACUUCUGCCCCACUUACCCUUUUUCUCUUCUGAUCCCACAUUUUUUGUGGUUUGUUUACCCAUUUAUCUUUUUUUUUUUCUUUAUUUAUUCUUGUAAGUUUUAUUUUUCCUUUUAUUUUUCUUUCUAAAGAUCCCUACCAUAUUUAUCUUAAACAGGAAAUUUAGUAAAAGGUCUAUAAAAUUUUUACUAAUGAACCAUGUAUCAAUGGUCAAUUUUUAUUUUAGACUUAAUCAAUGAAAUAUUUUUGUUAAUUAGACAUAGGUCAAUGAGGAAUGUUACAUGGGUUUCAAGCCCAUAUAAAUAGUUAAAAAAUUACUUUUUUGCCCCAAAUUAAAUCAUAAAAAGGUUUAUGAUCAUUUCUCCCACAAAUCCUCAUUUCUGUAGGUGAAGAUAACCCAAAUGCCUCUCUCUCUCGUUGAUGAAUAAAUACAAGCCAUGAAUCCAUAACUGAAACCCAGCAAUAAAAAUCUCUCUCUCUCUCUCUCUCUCUCUCUCUCUCUCUCUCUCUCUCUCUCUCUCUCUCUCUCUCUCUCUCUCUUGUUGAAAUAUGAAUAAAUACAAGCCAUGAAUCUAUACUUGAAAGGCCAUCAAUAAAAAUCUCUUCGGUUGUAGCAGUGGGCACGAAAAUCUCAUUGCCGCCACUAAAUUUGUCGUUCGACUAUUAUAUCUCAUCGAUCUGCUAUUGAAUUUCAUUAUUCCAUGGCUAAUCUCAUUGCAUCAUUGGCUCGACAAGUGGUUGUCAAUCGAGUUCAUAAUAACAAUGAGAGAUCAAGAGGGGAGAGUGUUGUUGAUUGAAUUCACACGGAAAAAAGUGAUGAAGGAGAAAUAAUGGACAAAUUGAAAUCAGUUUAUUUUCAAUUUGGGUCUUGUUUUUGGAACAUGCAAGUUGAUUUUUUUGGUUUUUUUUGUUGGGUUAGAGGUUUGGGAUGAAGAACGAAAGACAAAUUGGAUUUCGACAUGUUUUAAUUGAAACCCAAAUCAUAUACUGCAUAAAAAACAGAACCAGAAAAGCGAACAUUGCAUUAUAGUGUCUAAAUCAAAAUGUCAAAAAAAAAAAAAAAAAAAAAACAGAGUCAGGAAAUGAACACUUCAUUGCAGUGUCUGAAUCUAAAUGUAAAAAUAAUAUAAAAACAGAACUAGGAAACGGAUACUGCAUUGCAGUGUCUGAAUCCAAAUGUAAAAAAAAAUAUAAAAACAGAACUAGGAAAUGGACAUUGCAUUGCAGUGUCUGAAUCCAAAUAUAAAAAUAAAAAAAUAAAAACCACACAAAAAACCCAAGAAAUAGCCACUGCAUUGCUGUGUGUUUGAAUCCAAAUGUAAAAAUAAUGUAAAAACUGAACCAGGAAAUUAACACUGCAUUGCAGUGUCUGAAUUCAAAUGUAAAAAUCAAGAGUCGCACGAUGAGUGAUUGAAAAAACAAAAUUAGGAAAUAGACACUGCAACGUAGCGUCUGAAUCUCAAAUGUGAAAAACAGAAUCAAGAAACAGACACUACAUGAAUUCGUAUUGACCUAUUCCAAAUAUGAGAAAGAGUGUGUCAGUUUAAGUGGGUGACAGCUGUAGCGGCAGAUUUUGUAAUUAUUGUUUAUUUUAAAUGCAUUUAAGUAUCAUAAUACAUAAUUGACCUAUUUAUAAUUAACAUAAAUAUUGUUGAUCUAUUGUCAAUAUUGUAAUUUAUAUUGAAUUUAUACAAAAUACCCUAUCUUAAUCUCUCCCUUUAUAUUAUAUAUUAACUUUCAGUUCAGUUCGGGAUUAAAUUUUACUAGUGUUAAUUAUAGUAUUUCUUUUAGUGGUAUAAAAUUAUUAAAUUAAUAUUUUUCUUAUCGUGUAACAGGUUAUCCACUUGCAUACCUAGACUGAUCUAUUAUCUUAACAAGUGCUUAUCGGAUUACCCGAUAACGACCAAAUUCAUUAUUGUAUCAACCCAAAAAUCCGUUAAUUUCGUGUCAUGUCAUGUUGGGUUAACAGUUCGUGUCAGAAAUUGUCAAGCCUAGUUGGACUUGCACUCUUUUGAAUUUCGUGCCUUCCCUCGGCCAGGCCUAGCUUCGCCAGUAAUCAAUGUUAAAUUAAAGCCAACGACUACGCCAUUGGAGUAGAAUUGAUUCCUCUUGGUACGUGGCCCAAACAAGGGUGGACCAGGGUAAACCAAACCUAAGGACCCAACAUAACUUGUCCUGCAAGCUCAUAUAGAAAUCCAGCGUAUGGUUGUUUGGCGUCCACAGUAUGUAAAAGCAGUGUUCUAAAAAACGCUCUAGACGGCCGCCUAGGCGCUAGACGGCUGUGCUCCACCCCGAUUAACCCAAAAUCAUUUACUAAAUCGGGAAAGUUAUUAGGCGUCGUAAGGCGGACGCCUGGGAGGCCUAAACGGACGCUGGGUGGGCUAGAAGGAAGCUGGAUGGUCUGGGCGGCCUAGGAAAAUACGACUGGUCUAGCAAGAAGCAGGCGGACGCUGGCCAAUCUGGGUGCUCUGCGCCUCACCGUCUUCUCUCCCUAAGCAAAGUCCACCUUUUCUUGCACAAGGAUAUCGACCACCUUUUGGCUGAAACCACACUUGGGUUCAUCUGGUUUUCCCUUCAUAACAGCACAACAGGGCUUUUAAUCAGGCUUUUGAGUCGAGAGUUAAAAGUUUCACUCACACCAGUAGAUGCUGAGAUUCCACCCUUUCCACUUCCAGCAUCAGUUACCUUUACGGCUCGCUGUCUCCCUCUCGGUGUGACGAUGGUUUACCAGACGAGAGAGAGUAUGGAUCUGCAAUUGCUGAUGUGAUGAUAUGGUUGACGGCGGCAAUGAUUUUUGCAGUGAGCAGCUUAGGGUUUUAUUGUGAAAAAGGUGAGUCGGUGAAUGCCCUGAUUGGGAAUUGGGAGGAUGUAGGAAAUAUAAGAUGACAAUUGGAUUAGAUGGCUUUGGGUUUUUCGUUAGGAUCCAUUGCGCCCAUCUAUAAUGGACUGGACAAUUCUAUUCAAUGGUGAAACAAGGAAUACAAGGUCCAAACCUUACAUUUUAUUAAUGAAAAAGGCCCAAAAAAAUUUAUAGGCUUAGAAAAUAAUACAAAAGGUCUAAAACAUAACAUAUUAUUCAAUGUAUAUUCACAUAUUAUGUAGUAAAAUGAAUUAAUUUAUAUGAUGUAUAAUAAAAUUACUUAAAUCCGCUUAGACCACCUAGGCGCCCGCCUAGACCCCACUUAGGCGCCUAGGCUCUAGGCGCCAGCCUGCCGUCCGACUAGCGCCUAGCGUUUUUUAGAACCUUGGGUAAAAGGCAACCCCAUACAACACUGAUUGACGCACACAUAAGAAUCCCCAAUAUGACGGAACUUUUAAUUUAAGACAAGAUUUAUUAUCUCAAAACGUCUGUAGACUAAACGGUCAGAAACUAUUGUUUAUGUUAAACAUAGAAUUGCUAAAACUAUUGACACUUAUUUCUUACAAAACCUGCAUUAUUCGGAACCCUGCUGAAUAACUUUUGAGAGAUCAAACGAGUAUGUUAUCCUCCAGUCAAUCUAAAUUUUCAUUUCACCUCCCCAACACCAGGUCAUUCCAGUCUUCUACACAGUUAUCACCCUAUUUCUUUGGCCUUGAUGGUCUCUCUGUAUAUAUUUUUCACAUAUUUCAUGCAAAACGAAGUGGAAAUAUCUUCGCAAAUAACCAAGGAAAAUUUGAAUACCCAUACAUGGUUCUGAUUCGGCUGUACGUCAGACAAGCUUAUAAAACUGCUCAUAAGGGACAUCUGUUACUGUAGGAUAACAGCACAAUAGUUCAUUGCUAUUUGGAUUAUGUACAUUUUUUUUCUUCUCAUAAAUAACAAUUCUAGGUGUGACUAUGGGUCUAAGCCUUCACCAAAAACUCUAGAUAUACGCUAAUGUUUCAUAAUUUACCAAGAAAAACACAAAAGAAUGUCUUUUGACAUCCAGAUACUAAUGUUAAAUUGCAAGAUCCGUAAAGCUCUGAACACGCAAAUGAACCAAAGGGAAAGCUUAAUCACACAACCAGGUUAUUACUGCAUGCUUCUACUUGGUUAUUGAUAGCCUAACUAAUAUAUAAACAGUCUUCACACUACAACAAAAAUGGCUUUUGGGCACAAAAUUAUGGACACAAUGGAGGGAUUUGUGUGUCUUUUAACACAAAAAGAUUAAAACAGUGCCCAUUCAAUAAAGGACACUACAUAUUGUGCCCAAUAUCAAAAAAAAUGGACACAAACACAUUUUCUGACAACUUUGUUUUAAAAAAUGAACUCAAAUAUAUUAUUGUGCCUAUAUUUUACAUCUAAGGGCACAAUUAUUUGUUUUUUAUUAUUUGUCAUAAACUUAUGGCCCCACACCCCAUUUUCUCUCUCUCCCCUUAACCCACCCACACCGCACCCCCUCCUUCCCGUUCUCUCAUCUCUCUCUGCCUCCUUUAUACUCUCUCUUUCUCUCCAACCCCCUUUCUCUCACUACCUUCCCCAGAUCAAAUCGUGGAGGCUCUUGAGUUCCAUCGUCGCCAGAAAACCUUGGUAGGAACCCUCCGCACACGAUCUCCACAAGAAAGGAUCUCGGAGUGGAGGGGGGUUGGGAUCGGCGGAGAGUUUGGAAUCAGAAUCGGAGGAGGUAAUCACAGUUUUGGUAACUACAGGGUCAUCGAAGGGCGGUUUCUAGGGUUGGAGUGGGAGGCAUUCGAACUCAUCUUCAUCCCAAUACACGAAGCUGGUGAAGGAAGGUUUGGGAAGAUGGAUGCAUGGUGAGUCCGAAUCGGGAAUCGGGUUGGGAAUCGGGUCUGGUAGGGAGAGAUCAGAAGGUGAGUCGUGUUAGGAGGCGGUGGUGAGGAAAUGGCGGGUGCGAGUCGGAAGAGGGAGUGAGGAGUAGUCGUCAUUGUCCUCAUUUAUUUCGUCGCUGUAGCCUUCGAAUUGGGAGUCGGCGACUUGGAGGGAGGAGGGAGAGAAGGAGAGGUAAGAGAAGAGGAAGAGGAUGAUUAAUGCUUUCAUCUUUAUCUCCUUUCAUUUUUAAAGUACGAUUGUAUACUUGUAAACGUGUGUUGGUUGUUCAGGUGCCAUGGAUAUACAAUAUUAUUUCUUUUAGUAAUCGCGUGUUUUUAAGAGAAGCUCUUUUCUCUUAGGAUUUGAUGUUAUUUUGAAUUGUCUUGAUUAGUUCUGAAAGCUUUUAAAUAUCUGUGGAGUUGUAGAUCAGAUAUCCCUUCAUUGUGGAGUUCUGCGAUCAAGGUCCUACAUGGUGUAUACAACUAGACAGUCUGUAAUCAAGUUUAAUUUUCCAUGGGUGCAAAAUUUCUUUGUAAAAGCAGACUUUAGUGUAAUUUAAUUGGCCAAUCUAAUCUCUCUUUCUAUUCUUUUUCAGCUUCGAAAAGUAAAUGAUGAACAGAAGACUAGAAUUCAGAAAACUGAACAUGAUUUUCAAGUUGCAGAGGUUUGUUGUCCGUUUAUUUGCUACCUGAAACUAUCAAUUGCUAUAUGGUAUUAAUUUUUUUGAUAUCUCAGGAAGAAAUGAUGAAGGAGAAGUUUGGGAUUUCUUCGAUAUUUGAAGAUUUGAUUGAGGUAAGGAAAUGGUAAUGCUAUAAUUUUCUAAUGCCUGCUGUUGUUGGCAACGUUGUUGUUAUCACUUUAGGUUUAAUUCUUGUGUCUUUGCCUCUUUUAGUAGACUAGUCAAUUAGUAAAUUUAUCAAUUGCCUAAAGGUGGAUUCUGUUAUGGCCCUGUCUCUUAUUAAUCAUAUGCAAACUUUUAAGCUUGAAUAACAGUGAAGUGUAUCAUGUUCUUGUUACCAUUUACAAGUACUUUAAAAUUAAGUUCACCAUACUGCCAAUAGUUAAAUCCUGCUGUGACCCAUGAUCAGGUCCAUGGAGGAUGGUUUCCACAUACAUUUGGAGUUCAUGUAGACUAUUUUCAGGUAAAUCCACGCAGAUUAGUUGGAUAACAAUGUCAGUCUAAUUUCAUGACAAAGUAUUUAUGUGCAGACGUACAUUGUGACUUACUAGAAUGAGCUUGGAAGACCCGCCUUCAAUCUGGGAAUUGAAAAGGUGUGUCUGUGAUAUUCCAAACUUUAUUCGUUAAACUUCUCCAAUAAAGAUGUUCACUUGCCAGGUGAAUAAACUGGAAUAGCCAAGUAUUCAUUUAUUUGUUUAUCCUCAGGCCUUAAAAAUGAAAGCUUGUGGUGAGGGUUGGGCUGGGAUCAUCGUUGAAAGAAUCAGAAUAGUAUGUUAUCCCCAACUCUUCUUCAUAUAAUACAAAAUACAAAGUGAGACACAAGUUGCGUUUUAUGGGAUUAAGUGGCAAAAUUUGAGUUUCAAAACUCGAGUUCUGAAGAUGAGCAUAAAGCAGCAAGAGCCUAUCUUACUAAUAAAUUCUGAAGUCAUUAGACUCAGCUUUGGUGUUUGACAUCUUCCUCUUUUCUGAACAAUUAGUGUACAGUCAACUUUUCUAUUUGAGAUAUUGAACCAAGUUGGCAACCUUUCUAAUUCUUCCUCUUUUAAUUUGAAGAACUGGAUCCCAAGGUUGAAGAAACAGUCUUUGGAAUUUAAAGCCUAUCUUGAACCAAACAUUUGAUUAGUCACUACAAAAACUGUUGAUGUAUAUCGUUCAUCAAAGAGUUUUAUAUGACCACUUGUUUUCAAGGCACAAAAUAUGGCAGAUCCUUACAUUCAGGUGAGCCCUUCAAGAGAACUUUUUUAAUAUAUGGAUUUGGUGGAUGGAAUUCUUUCUUAUGGCAUUUCUGUGUUAUGGUAGGAAGCUAAGAAAUAUACCGAGCCAUACAUUGAUCGGGUUGCAAUGGUGACAAAAACACAUUUAGAUAAAUUACAAGAAAGAAAAUGCCAAAGCAGUUCUCCUUGUUGCAAGCCAGGUGAGACAUAUGUACAUCUAUCCUCUCAAAACCUUGCACAUUUCUUUUUCUUUCUGAAGUCUACUUUCUCUAACCACUAUGAAAUAUGUUUGCCCUCCAACUCAUGAACUUCCCAUCCUUGGUGAAAAUGUGACUUGGUCUGCGAUCUCUUGUAAGCCAAAAUGACAUUAUUUAGGAUAAUUAUCAACUUUUAUUGUUGUAAGUAUCAACUUUUAUUGUUGUAAGUAUCAACUUUUGUCUUGCUUAUCCACUUACUGAUGUCCAGAAUUUCAAGGUACGGUGAUGUUCUUAUAGUGGAAAAACUUAUAUUUCAAUUGCAUAUUGUUGGAGGUUCUAUUCUUAUGUAUUAAAAUUAUCUUGUUUUACAUUACUAUAAUCAUUAAAUUAUUGAGUUUACUAAUGUUGUUGUGUAGGAGGAUAGGGAAAAACUAUUUCAAGAAUACUUAAACAGAAAUGGAAGAUCUUCUCUUGAUGAUCAUCUUCAUUAAUUCGUUUAUGGAGCAGCAGAGAUUCGAUGAGGUGCAAGGCUUGUUGGGGAAGAUGCAUCUGUCCAAAAAUGUCUCCUUUCAAGAUCUUUUUGCAUUAGAGAUUAAAUAUGUAACAGUACAAUAUAUGUUUGUGAGAUUGAGAAUGUAUUGUAGGCUUUCUACAUUUUAUGAAAAAAAAAAAAAACCUCAAUUUCAAUUUCAAUUUUUCAAAUUAUGAUUUUUUUUAAUAUUUAAUUCAUGCAGGCACAAUUACAUUUUAAGUGCCAACAUGGCUGGAAAUGGUAGUCUGACAACCAGUGGCGAAGCCAGUAAUUCUCGAGAGGAGGGGCGAACUUAUAUGCGUGCAAGGUUAAAGAAAAAUGGCAACAACCAAAUCUUUUUAUAUAUGAAUGUCUUAUAUAAUUAAUCAAUACAAAUAAAUUACAGUUGUUGUCGGCGAAGUUUCAUGUCAUGAAAACGUCGCAUAAUAGGAUCAUUAUCAGUAAAAGCAAAUACAUCUCUCUCAAUGUAAACAACCAUGUUAUCACUCAACCAUUGAUCUCCCAUUUUGUUACGCAAUGAUGUUUUCACAAUCUUCAUAGCAGAAAAAACUCUCUUCACCGUAACAGUUGCAACCGGUAACACUAAAGUUAAUGUAAGAAAAUUAUACAUUAACAUGUAGCUUUCACACCUCCUGGUUCAUUUUGUGAGAUUUAGGUUAACAAAGUUCAUUUUAGAGGUAGUACCUACGAAUUGCUUCGCGAUAAUUGGAGAAGGAUUUAAGCACUGUUUCUUAUAGUAUCGUUCCAUUACGUAACUGUAUAACAAAAGAAAAAAAAAUAUCUUAGACUCUUAAUCUUAGAGUAGACUAUAGGGUAAUAUCUAAUCAAAUCACGAAUUAAUUAAUCAAUACUAACAAUCAUAUGAAUAAUCAAGAAUUCAAUUUUUAUUCUAAAGCACAAUUAAAAAUUGAGUAAGUUGAUUAAGGUUUAUAGCGGUUACCGCAAUCAAUUUUUAUUACUAGACCAUGUGUGAUUCAAGUUCCUAUAAUAUAUAUAAUGUAUGAAUCCUCUUUUAUGUACUUCAAAAAAAAAUCAAUAAUCAUAGUAUUUAUAUGAAUAAUCUAUAAUCGAUAACCAUAAUUUUUUUUUUAAAAAAUUAAAAAUUAACCUCACUUGGAGCGGCUGGCGUGGCGUCUGGAGCUUGGUGGGCAACGGAACAGGACUUUCUUGUGUUUAAUCCCGGGAUUUGAGUCAAUUUUGAAAAUUGAAAUAUGGGAAUAAAGGUGGGGGGAUGGGAUUUGUAAUUUAUGGGCAAGAGUGGGGGUAAUAAUUGAAACAAGUGGGAGGAUUGGGAUGGGUACUAGUGGCUCUUUAAAAAAAAAAUUAUUUGAUUAAUGCAAAACGACGUUGUUUACCAAACCAAAAUUAAAAAUUAAAAAAAGAACCUGCAAGCUCACAGUUCCCAGAUUCGAACCAUGAACCACCGUGGUUCCCAGAUUCCGGCCGAACCAAAGGGGUUCAAGCCUCGCUCCUGCCUUUGUUUUCGGGCGAGCGGAGGGGCGGCCGCCCCCCUUCGCUCCAUGUAGCUUCGCCACUGCUGACAACUUUGUCAGAACGUAGGCACAAAACACCAUUUAUUUGUGCUAACAUCAUGAGCACAUAACUCAGUAUUGUGCCCUCCGAGCAAUGGUGACGCCCAUAGAGGGCACAAAUACAAAGAUAGUAGCUGCACUGUUGCUAUUGGUCUAUGAGCACAAUUGUUGGUGCUUUUUGGCCUCAAAGGGCACAUAUAAUUUAUUGUGCGCAGUGCUCAUUUUUGUUGUAGUGUCAACAGCAACAUAAGGUAAUGAAGGAACACGCAUACCCUAUAGAAUCAUUAAGAUUAGUAGAUUACUCGGGGGAGAUAAUAAGUAGUAACUUGCCUGCAAUUGUCAAGGAAGAUUCAGCCAGAUCAGGACCUUGAAGGCUUGAAGCAUAUCACCUUCAAGGGUACAUACGAAGCAAAGCAAAAGCUGAUAUUGCCAGGUCUAUAUUCUUUUUCCUCUCAAAACGAUUGAUAGAAAAUUUAGCCUGGAAUGAACAUACACGUGAAGCAUCUCCCAGCCGCAAAACAGGCACAGCACAAGUGAAAGUAUAUGUAGAUGAGCAGAUAAAGAUAUAUGUAUGAUCAUGUCAUAUUUGGAUUCAGAAACUCAUAAAUCGCAACAACAACAAUAUUUUUAUUUUUCUAGAUAAUAGUCAUGGCAAGAUAUACAAACAUCACAUAAAAACAGUUAUGAAGCCUUAUAUAUAAUACCUAGUUUGAAAACAAAAGGCCACUCACUAAUACGUUGUUGGGUCAUAACCGGUCGUGCCUUGCCCUCUGAAUCACCUAGGGUAAGUCUCUCCUAUUUGGAAAACCACCAUAUUGGUCUUUAUAGCGAGGGGUUACUAAUUCCAAAAAGCAAGGUUUUAGAAAACUUUUACUUUUGCCCUGUUUGUUUUGCACCCCUCCAGGAGUUAGUAGUUGUACGCUGGUGGAGACGAGAAUCACUAGCAAUUUCUAACAUUCACUUCGGAUAAUGUAGGAAGUUGAUUCUGUUUUUUUUUUUGUAUAAAUAUUCUUUACAUUUAUGCACAUUUAUCAAUGUUAUUAGGCCUGGCAAACGGGUCGUGUCAGUCGUGUUCGUGUCGUUUUCGUGUAACACAUGUUAUCUUAACGGGUCGUGUCGUGUCACACCCGUUAUCUUAACGGGUCCUUAACAGGUCGUGUCACUGUACCCAACGGGUAAAGUGACCCGACCCGUUAUGACCCGUUAAGAAAAAUAUAUAUUUUUUCUUAAAUUUGCACAUACCACACAUUGCCACAUAAAUAUUACUUCAAAACAUUAAAACACAUUUGUCGUUUAAGUACUACAUCUACACUCGAAAAUAAGAGCCUAAUAAAAAAAUAAUACAUACAGUAUUAAUCUAUUACAAAUUUUAAAUGUUCAAGGAUAUGCAAAAUGAAACAGUUUUUGUUUUCAAGGUUGUGAAAUCUUUCUCAAAAGUUUAACCUCAAUUUACAAAAUCCUCGAUUUACAUCGAUCAUCAUGAAAUUGCAUUGGAACUUUGGCUUGAUCUAUUGCCUUCAAGAGUUAUGUUGAUGAUGUUUUCAGUAAGGUUUUCCACGUCAUAACUAUCUUCUGCAUAAACUAAGCAUAGCAAAACCAAACAUUAAAAAUCAUUCAAAUUAUGAGAAGUUUACCAAAAUAAUUAUGAAAAAAAAUAAAACAAUAGUACUAUACCAUACUUUUAUUAAGUAUAAACAUAAGAUUUUGUGGUAUCCACUAGUAUAAAUAUUUUAAAUUGAAGAUCGAAUUCAAUCAUUGUAUUCAUAUAAGGUCAAGGAGUGUAGUUGUAAAAAAUCAUCAAAAGUGGAGUUAAAUUAACCGUUAAAUCGUGAUUUUUCGUUUAUAACCGUCGAAAAGUUUUGUCCCGCUACGUGCUCUCUGAAUGUUUGUUUUUUUGCAAUUUUUGGCGUAUGCGAUCUCGAAAUAUAUACAAACAUGUUUGACGGUUGGAUCAUUGAAACUAGUUUCGUAGAAUGAGUAUCCCAUCAAAACAAUAGAUUCACUAAUACUUAAGAGUUUAUUCAUACUUUUAUUAAGUAUAACAUAAGAUUUUGUGGUUUCCACUAGUGUAAAUAUUUUAAAUUGAAGAUCGAAUUCAAUCAUUGUAUUCAUAUAGGGUCAAGGAGUGUAGUUGUAAAAAAUCAUCAAAAUCGGAGUUAAAAUGACCGUUAAAUCAUGAUUUUUCGUUUAUAACCGUCGAAAAGUUUUGUCCCGUUACUUGAUCUCUGAAUGUUUUUUUUUUUGCAAUUUUUGGCGUAUGCAAUCUCGAAGUAUAUAUAAACAUGUUUGACGGUUGGAUCAUUGAAACUAGUUUCGUAGAAUGAGUAUCCCAUCAAAACAAUAGAUUCACUAAUACUUAAUAGUUUAUUCAUACUUUUAUUAAGUAUAGUAUAAGAUUUUGUGGUAUCCACUAGUGUAAAUAUUUUAAUUGAAGAUUGAAUUCAAUCAUUGUAUUCAUAUAGGGUCAAGGAGUGUGGUUGUAAAAAAACAUCAAAAUCGGAGUUAAAAUGACCGUUAAAUCGUGAUUUUUCGUUUAUAACCGUCGAAAAGUUUUGUCCCGUUACUUGAUCUCUGAAUGUUUGUUUUUUGUAAUUUUUGACGUAUCCGAUCUUGAAGUAUAUACAAACAUGUUUGACGGUUGGAUCUUUGAAACUAGCUUCGUAGAAUGAGUAUCCCAUCAAAACAAUGGAUUCACUAAUACGUAAUAGUUUAUUCAUACUUUUAUUAAGUAUAAUAUAAGAUUUUGUGGUUUCCACUAGUGUAAAUAUUUUAAAUUGAAGAUCGAAUUCAAUCAUUGUAUUCAUAUAAGGUCAAGGAGUGUAGCUGCAAAAAAUCAUCAAAAUCAGAGUUAAAAUGACCGUUAAAUCGUGAUUUUUCUUUUUAUAACCGUCGAAAAGUUUUGUCCCGUUAAUUGAUCUCUGAAUGUUUGUUUUUUUGUAAUUUUUGACGUAUGCGAUCUCGAAGUAUAUACAAACAUGUUUGACGGUUGGAUCUUUGAAACUAGUUUCGUAGAAUGAGUAUCCCAUCAAAACAAUAGAUUCACUAAUACUUAAUAGUUUAUUCAUACUUUUAUUAAGUAUAACAUAAGAUUUUGUGGUAUCCACUAGUGUAAAUAUUUUAAAUUGAAGAUCGAAUUCAAUCAUUGUAUUCAUAUAAGGUCAAGGAGUGUAGUUGUAAAAAAUCAUCAAAAUCGGAGUUAAAUUAACCGUUAAAUCGUGAUUUUUUGUUUAUAACCGUCGAAAAGUUUUGUCCCAUUACUUGCUCUCUGAAUGUUUUUUUUUUUUUGCAAUUUUUGGCGUAUGCGAUCUCGAAAUAUAUACAAACAUGUUUGACGGUUGGAUCAUUGAAACUAGUUUCGUAGAAUGAGUAUCCCAUUAAAACAAUAGAUUCACUAAUAUUUAAGAGUUUAUUCAUACUUUUAUUAAGUAUAACAUAAGAUUUUGUGGUAUCCACUAGUGUAAAUAUUUUAAAUUGAAGAUCGAAUUCAAUCAUUGUAUUCAUAUAAGGUCAAGGAGUGUAGUUGUAAAAAAUCAUCAAAAUCGGAGUUAAAUUAACCGUUAAAUCGUGAUUUUUCGUUUAUAACCGUCGAAAAGUUUUGUCCCGUUACUUGCUCUCUGAAUGUUUGUUUUUUGCAAUUUUUGGCGUAUGCGAUCUCGAAAUAUAUAAAAACAUGUUUGACGGUUGGAUCAUUGAAAAUAGUUUCGUAGAAUGAGUAUCCCAUCAAAACAAUAUAUUCAAUAAUACUUAAGAGUUUAUUCAUACUUUUAUUAAGUAUAACAUAAGAUUUUGUGGUAUCUAGUGUAAAUAUUUUAAAUUGAAGAUCGAAUUCAAUCAUUGUAUUCAUAUAGGGUCAAGGAGUGUGGUUGUAAAAAAACAUCAAAAUCGGAGUUAAAAUGACCGUUAAAUCAUGAUUUUUCGUUUAUAACGGUCGAAAUGUUUUGUCCCGUUACUUGAUCUCUGAAUGUUUGUUUUUUUCAAUUUUUGGCGUAUGCGAUCUCGAAGUAUAUAUAAACAUGUUUGACGGUUGGAUCAUUGAAACUAGUUUCGUAGAAUGAGUAUCCCAUCAAAACAAUAGAUUCACUAAUACUUAAUAGUUUAUUCAUACUUUUAUUAAGUAUAAUAUAAGAUUUUGUGGUAUCCACUGGUGUAAAUAUUUUAAAUUGAAGAUCGAAUUCAAUCAUUGUAUUCAUAUAAGGUCAAGGAGUGUAGCUAUAAAAAAUCAUCAAAAUCAGAGUUAAAAUGACCGUUAAAUCGUGAUUUUUCUUUUUAUAACCGUCGAAAAGUUUUGCCCCGUUAAUUGAUCUCUGAAUGUUUGUUUUUUGUAAUUUUUGACGUAUGCGAUCUCGAAGUAUAUACAAACAUGUUUGACGGUUGGAUCUUUGAAACUAGUUUCGUAGAAUGAGUAUCCUAUCAAAACAAUAGAUUCACUAAUACUUAAUAGUUUAUUCAUUCUUUUAUUAAGUAUAACAUAAGAUUUUGUGGUAUCCACUAGUGUAAAUAUUUUAAAUUGAAGAUCGAAUUCAUUACUUGUAUUCAUAUAGGGUCAAGGAGUGUAGUUGUAAAAAAUCAUCAAAAUCGGAGUUAAAAUAACCGUUAAAUCUUGAUUUUUCGUUUAUAACCGUCGAAAACUUUUGUCCCAUUACUUGAUCUCUGAAUGUUUGUUUUUUGCAAUUUUUGGCGUAUGCGAUCUCGAAGUAUAUACAAACAUGUUUGACGGUUGGAUCAUUGAAACUAGUUUUGUAGAAUGAGCAUCCCAUCAAAACAAUAGAUUCACUAAUACUUAAGAGUUUAUUCAUACUUUUAUUAAGUAUAACAUAAGAUUUUGUGGUAUCCACUAGUGUAAAUAUUUUAAAUUGAAGAUCGAAUUUAAUCAUUGUAUUCAUAUAGGGUCAAGGAGUGUGGUUGUAAAAAAUCAUCAAAAUCGGAGUUAAAAUGACCGUUAAAUCGUGAUUUUUUGUUUAUAACCGUCAAAAAGUUUUGUCCCGUUACUUGCUCUUUGAAUGUUUGUUUUUUGCAAUUUUUGGUGUAUGCAAUCUCGAAGUAUAUACAAACAUGUUUGACGGUUGGAGCGUUGAAAUUAGUUUCGUAUAAUUCGUAUCCCAUGAAGUUCAAUGGUGUGUGUGUGUGUAUAUAUAUAUAUUUAUUUAUUAAGUAGAUUUAAAUCUAUUUAUUUUGUAUGUAUAAUUAUUAUAGUUUUUAGGGGUAUAAAAUUUAAUAUAUAUAUAUAUAUAUAAUUAUUAUAGUUAAUAUUUUGGGUAUAAUUAUUAUAGUAUUUAUAAUUAUUAUAAUUAUUAUAGUUAAUUUAAUAUAUAUAUAUAUAAUUAUUAUAGUUUUUAGGGGUAUAAAAUUGUUAAAUUAAUAUAUAUAUAUAUAUAUAUAAUUAUUAUAGUAUUUUUUUAGGGUUAUAAAUUAUUAAAUUAAUAUUCUGCUUAUCGUGUAUUGUGUUACCCACGUGUAUACUCGAACAAACCCGUUAUCUUAACAGGUGCUUAUCGGGUUACCCGAUAACGACCCGUUUCGUUAUCGUGUCGACCCGAACACCUGUUAAUUUCGUGUCGUGUCGUGUCGGGUUAUCGGGUCGUGUCAGGAAUUGCCAGGCCUAAAUGCUAUGACACUGCAUUCAUUGUAAUAAGAGUUCAUCCCAUAUUGUGCACUCUUAGUUUAAUUUAUUUUGAUAUGAAAAAAGGAAGUUACACUUAGUAAGGCAACAUAAACAUCACCCCUUAUAAAGUAAGAAAAAAUAAAAUAAAAUACUAGAAAAGAGGGAGGACAUAAAUCUUAUCCUUCUUAAAAAAGAAAAAACAAAAAAACAAAAAAGAAAAUAAGAGGGGACACAGAACUAAACCCCUCUAAAGUAAAACCUAAUGCUAAAGAUAAUAUACAUAUCCUCGCUGUCUUCCAUAUGAAAACAAAACCGAAGAUGUAGGAUAAAAGGCACAAUCUAGUCUCCUCUAAGCCUUCUUUUCAUCAUGGUCAUCAUAGAGCCUAUCUUGUACAUUGUCUAAGAAUUUAAAAUAUGCAUAUCUCCAUGUCUUCUUAACAAUUAAAGAACCAAACACUCCCCAAAAUCCUACGAUGAAACCUAGUGUGGUGAAAAUAUACAACCAUGGAAAUUCAUGCUCAUUGUCCACACCUUGGUUGUUCUUGUUAUCUGCAUCAAUGCCCUUAAUUGGUAGACACUCAUUCAGAAGUGGAAAGCCACACAGUUUUGAAUUCCCCUCAAAUGCAGAAGCAUUGAAACUUUGGAGCUGAGUGCUUGUUGGGAUUGGUCCUUCGAGAUUAUUGUACGAGACAUUGAAAGAUUUCAAGAAAUUAAGGCUUGCCAAUGACAGUGGGAUGUUUCCAGACAAAUGAUUCAUGGAGAGGCUCAAAGUCUCUAGAUUUUUUAGAUUGGAUAUUUGUUCUGGAAUAUUGCCGGAAAAGUAGUUACCACUAAGAUCCAAGUUGUGGACAAGGUGUAUUUGGCCGAUCUCAGUAGGUAUUCUGCCAUGAAUGUGAUUGAGAGAUAGGUCUAAUGUUGGUGGAAAGACGGACAAUCUUCGCGGGCAAAAUAGGUCUGUAGGGGUGAAGAUAGGCAGGUCAAUAUAAUCAUCCAUUUGAGUUGUGGUCGGUUCAUGUACCAACCUUGGUAGUCCACAAAGUUCUUGCGGAAAUUCACCGGAAAUUUGGUUGUUUGCCAAGCUCAAGAAUAAGAGUUUGGGAAGAGUCCCCAGCGAUCUAGGAAUUGGCCCUGUAAUUUUACUACCUUUCAAAAUUAAGAUCUCUAUAUUCUUGAGUUUUGAUAACCACAAAGGCAUCUGACCAGUGAACUCACAAUAAAAAAAACUCAAAAAUCGAAGAUUUUGGAACCCAUUGAAAUCAACCGUGGCUUCAUCAGCUGGCAUUUCCUCAUUUUUGAACGAAUACGAAAAGAUGAGUGUUUGAAGACUUUUGCAAUGCAUUAAUAUCUCCAUUGCCCCAGUGAUGUUGGUUAAGCCACCAAGUGAGAGAAAGGACAAAGAUUUCAAUGCAAGAAUUUCAGGUUGUAUUUGUCCCUUUAUAUUAUUUGCACUCAAACGAAUAGCUUUUAGGGAUUGGCAUGAAUAAAGGCUUGUUGGAAAUGUACCAGUAAAGUGGUUUCGAACUAGGUCAAAUUUACUGAGGUAACUAAGUUUGGAGAAAUUGAGCAUGGAGAUAUCUCCUUCCAAAUUGUUGGCCGCCAUAUGUAUUUCUACAAGGUUCGUGCAAUUCAUCAACGAUGGCGGAAAAGAACCUUCAAAAUGGUUAAAAUCAAGAGCCAAGAGUUUCAAUUUGGAGAGCUUUCCAAAAUGGAGAGGGAGCACACCAGUCAGUUGGUUAAAUGAGAGAUCAAGGAUUGCAAGGUUGGUGAGGUUGAAAAUUCUCUCACCUAUGGCUCCAUGGAGUGAAUUGGAAGGGAAUGCAAUUUCUUCGAGUUUGGUGGCAUUGUAGAUAUCUUUUGGAAGUAACCCUGAGAGGUUAUUGUAACCAGCACGAAAAAUUUGCAGUUUUGAACACUCUCCGAGUCCAGGAGAAAUGUUGCCACUGAAUGCAUUGAGGGAAAAAUCCAACAACCUAAUCAAGGGAGAAGAAUGAAGACAUAUAGAGGAUGGGAUCAAACCUGAGAAGGAAUUGUUGUAGACACUGAAACUAGCUAAAUUCUGAGCUUGUUGAAAGAAUGGUGAUGGAAUUGCACCAUGGAAGCGAUUGCUUGAAAAAUCCAACGUCUGGAUAUGGUGGGAUGGCAAACAAAAUGGUAGCUUUCCAGAAAGAAGAUUAAAGCUCAAAUCAAGGAUCUCAAGACGAUUCAAAGCCGAGAAGAAUUCAAUUUCAAGUGAUCCGGAAAGUGAAUUGUGAGAGAGAUUCAAGUGGAUGAGGUGUGUGAGAUUUCCAAGUGAUGAUGAUGAGGGGAAAAUAGCUCCUUUGAGACCUUCGGAGGAUAAGAGCAAAUGGGUGACCAAACCAUCUUGAUUACAAGUGAUGCCCUUCCAAUGACAACAGUUAACUAAAGUCCAAUUUAAAGGAGGAGAAGAUAGCAUGGAGGCGAAGGACAGAAGAGAGCCGCGCUCAGUUUGGUUGCAUGCAUGAACAUUUGUAGAGAUGAUGUGAGAGAUAAAAAGGAUGAGAAUGAAGCCAUGAGCCAUUGGGUUAGGAAUUACGUUGCUCUAGCAUAUAUGUUUUUUACAUUCGGAUUCUCAAAGUUUGGGUAUAUAUAGAGCAACUAAUUGCAUGCAUAAUCCUAAGUUCCUUUCUGUCUUCUUUCUUUUAGUUUGAAAACGAUGAAUCAUAAAGCCCGAACACGUACGCUAGAGGCAAACAUCACUACAAACUGAGAAAUUGGAAAACAACCAUAACCAUACAGUACAAAUGUUCCAAACCCCUCUAUACGUUGAAGAAAUAUUUCCCACUUGAAGACAUUUGUUCUGAAUUAAUAAGGAGGGGCCCCGUGAAAGGACCAUAGCUAAUGUCAUACAACGACUCACUAGUACUUUGCCCUAGAAGAAGGGGAAGCACUCAUCCCUUUGUUUCUACGCAGUAAUUGAAAAAAAAAGGUACUUCAGAGAUAUAAUAUGAAUUGACACCAAAAGCUGGUUUUUGUAUGUACGUGUUGUUUAGUACUAUCAACGUUUCAUAUACGGCAUGCCAAAACCUGAAUUGUCUUAAUUGAAAUGAACUUGAACACCUCCAAGAACUUUCGUAACACCUUAAACCAUAAACUUUCCUCACAAAUAGGAAAUCAUGUUGAGAAAGAAUAUGACUCAGCACACUUGAAGUAGACAUUUAAAACACUAGUCGAGGGUGGGCAAAGGCCUAGAUGCAUGCUUAGAUGAUUACCUAGGCGGUCUAGGUAGAUCUAGAUGCCAUUUCUUUAUUUUUUAAACGCCUAGGAUUUUACUAUGGCUAUGGCCAGUCACCUAGAGCCUAGGCGGGGCCAAGGCCGCCCUAAGUAAAAGCCUUCUAAACACUGUUUCAAAGUCUACAAUGGGUAAUGUUUAGAAAAUUUUCCCUAGAUGAAGACAACCAUGCUGAAAAGAACUAAUGCAUUUCCUGUUAGGUAAUUGAAAAAAAAAGAAGAAAAAAGAAUAGCUGCGUGCAUUCCUUCCACAACAACCAACGAAAUCAAGAUCAGGAGCUAUAGCUAGGGAUUCUGUGAUCAACCGCUUUAGUGGAAUGCCCUUACUCGGUCCAAACUUGAUGAUGGAAUGGCUGGGCUAGGCAAGGGCUACGGCACUUGGAAUAAAAAAUGAAACAAAACUUCUGUCUUCCAGAACAUUGAAUUUUGGGGAGUAUAGCUAAAAUAGAGUGACGUCUAAUGAUGAUUACGUAGAAUUAUUAAGAAUAUUUAUCAAAGUGUCGUAUACAUAAAAUGCUAAACAUGGCCUGAGUUGACUCACGGUAGUCAUUCAAAUAUAUCAAGUUUUAAAAUAUGAACCAAAAGAACAAAAUCAUAAAACAUAAGAAAAUCCUAAAACUAAUUACCAUAUUAUAUUAAAGUCUACGAGUUGACUCAAUUGAACAAUUAUAGGAUUUUUACCACCUGCAAAAGCAGGGGUAAAAACACUUAAAAUAUUUACAAGAUUCCAAGAUAGUUGUAGUAUAAACGGCUCAAGUAAUGUCGUUCUCCACAUAGAUUAUUGAAAACAAUUUAUAUUUAAAACCAAUUCUUAAUUGCUUAUUUAAAACAAAGUUUAGAAAAGAUUGAUUUUACGAUCUAAAUUAAUAAAAAUGAAUUUAAAUAACGGCAAAAGUAAAAUAAACUAAAAGAAAACGGUUUUUGAAAAUUAAGUUGUAAAAGCACCGUUCCGCUGUCACUUUAACAGUUAUACGUAGAUCUUUCAAUUACUUUUGACUUAUACAUGCAUAUUUUGAAGGUUCGGUUUUCCUAAAGUAUGCUCUACUUGGACCCCCAAUUUAGAAUGUAUAUCAAACAUGCAAUUUGUCUGUGGUAUUCAGAUCAAAUUUAAACAUGCAAGAUUCAUUAUGCUUUAUAAAACUUAUUAAAAAGCCAUGCGACCCUUAAGACGUGAUAUUUAUCCUAAGUGAAAUUACAAUUAUUAAUCACAAGAAGCCUUCUUCAAUUUCGGGAACAAUCCUCCAACCAAAAUUACAUCAAAUUACUUUUCUAAAUAUCUUAAUGAUGAUUAAGCAUCAAGACAAUUAGAUAGUUUAGCUAUGGUGAUUACUAAUUCAAGACCUGCAUGCAUAAUAUAAGCAAAUUGAAAAGAAACUACAUAUUCUUGCUUAGGCUUGUGGUCUUAACCUAGCAAAGAGAGUUAGUUACGCAUUGAAAGCUUAAGAUCAUGAAUAGAAAACACUUUGUAAAUAAACUUGAAUCAUCAAAAGCUUUCAAUGCGGAAUUCUCCAAAGUAGUGCCUAGAGAACCCUAAUACACAAUACAUUAUAUUUAUAGUGCUUUAUUCCUUAUCAUACCUAAACAAGGCUUUCUAAUAAAUAUAGAAAUCUAAGUAAAAUAAUAAAAUAAUAAAUAAAAGGUUUUCUAUUUAAAGUCCAAUUCAGAUUGUAGAGAGAAUCAGACUUUUGAUCAACCAAAUCAACUCCAAUUUGGUCCCAACAGAUUUCUUUUUAAAGCUUAAGACAUUCCCAACAAAUCCUCAGAAGGAACCUUUCUUAAAAUAUGCCAUUUUGACAUUCAAAAUACCAAAAAUGUCCAUAAACGUCAAUUGAAAUAUAUAACAAAGUAUCAAAAUAAAACCAAAUUAACCAAUAAGUUAUAGAGAAAACUAAUGAAAAAAGACUUCACAAUUUUGAGUUUUAACCAAAAAACACUUGAUAAUUUUAUUUAAUGAUGAGGACAAGAGAUAAAAAAAAAUUAAAAAAAAACUAAUCCAACCCAAAGCACGUGCAAGCGCACGCCAACCAAUUCAAUAGAUCAAAUCGAGCUUUUACACUGAGGAGUUAUAACUGAAGAGAAAACCAACGUGCGGUGCAAAAGCAGCAGUGGGAGUAGUACAAUAAAUGAGGAGAUGGAGUAGAUGAAUGAAAUAAUAUGCACACAAAUUACUUUUUAAAUAUUUCAUUGGGAAUGAAAAGGUUCAGAGAGAGAGUGUGUUAGAGAGAGUGAGUGAGAGACUGUGAAGGUAGAGAGAAGAGACUAUCAUUCAAACUGACAUCAACAAACUCCAAAAAAUUUCAUAAAGAGAUUUGAGAGAAAAAAGAUGAAACCACUCAACCACAUGGCUCGUUUGGAUGUUCUUUUAAAAUGACUGAAAGCAUAAUGUUUUUGGGUUCCAAAAGCACUUUAAGUGCUUUCUACAAGAAGCACCAGUUAUGUGAUUCUUUCAGGAAGAACUUUAAGUGUUUUUUUUCCAGGAUUUACUAGCAUUUUUACUAAGGAUUGUAUCCAAAAAUAUUUCAUCAAAAACGCUUUCAGUCAUUUUAAAAAUACAUCCAAACGAGCAAUUAACCACUCAACCCUACACGUGGUGUAGACGCUCAUCAUCAUUCCAUGUUCAAAUUAUGUAAUUUCUUUAUUAAUUUUUACUCUAACCAGAGCUAAAACCUAAAAGUAAAGAAAAUAUUAGAAUAGGAUCCCCUAAUGAAAUCACAUUUAGGGUUAAUUUGGUAUUGCUGUACUUUUAAAAAAAAAAUUGCUUUUACUGUGCUAUGAGAAUAAACAUCUGUAAAAUAAAACAGUUAAGUGUUUGGUAAUUUUUAUUUUAUUUUAUAAAAGUUCUUUUAAAUGUAAGGGUGUUUGGUAAACUUUUAUAUAAAAAUAUUGUGCAAACUAAGAAGUUAUAUCAAUAUUAGAGAUCAGUUGUCUCAAACGCCUUAAAAAUAUAAUAUUUCAAAUUUUAAAAUAUGAACAAGAGGAAAAAUCUAAAACAUAAGAAAAUCCUCCGAACACCUAUAUUCUUCGAAGAGAGAUUUUCCACUUGAAGAUGACAUUAGACUUGAAGGAUGGGCCACCAUGAAAGGACCAGACCACCUAAUUUUAGCGAAUUUGCCCUAGAUGAAGACAACCAUAUUGAAAAGAACAGAACAUUAAAUUCUGGGAAAAGUAUAGAUAAAAUACAGUGACGUCUAACGAUGGUUACGCAGAAACGUUAACAAAAUCGAGGUGUCGUAUACAGAAAAUGCUAAACAUGGCCUAAGUACGAAGAAAUCUGAAUUUGACGAUACACAUCGUCGAUAAUAUUAUGAAUUUGAAUGCAAAGGUAAAAAUCAGAAAUGGAAUAGCUUGAAUUGGAUGACUGAAACCCCGGAGUUUCAGUUACAAUCAUCUCCAAUUAUUUUGACAGUGAAAAUGAGUGAUAUGAGAGAGAAUUUAUAAAUUAAAUUUUUUUAUAAAUAAAAUAAAAACCUAACAUGGAAAUAUGUGAAUAGUUAAAUGCUGAUGUGUACAAAGUCCUAUGACUUUGAUUAAAAACUAAAAUUCAACAAGGUUUCAGGCAUAUAAAAUUGGUGAUUAGGAAUCGAAAUCUAAUUUCCCCAUAUUAUUCUCUAUAAUUUUUUUUCUGUGCAUAGUGGACAAAUCCAAAGGUGCUUUGGUAUGGUAUCAUUCUGGAUAUAGAUGAACGCCGCCGCCGUGAGAAACAGGAGGAACCGAAAAUCGCAAAGAAUUUUCAUUUUAUUUAAUUUGGUGCGGAAAAACUACGGGAGCUUCCGAUCUCAUAUAAAUUUGAAUCGGAUGGAAUUAUAAAGAUUAAUGAAUGCAUACAAUUUUCUGAAUUUUUUUGGUGUUUGGUGAAUUCUAAUCACAUUUACUUUACUGCCAGUCAAGUUUCAUGAUUUGCUAACCUGCGCAAUCGAAGAUGCAAAACUGGUUAUUGAAUUUCAGGACAAGAAAAAGGAAAAGCAAAGGAUUUUACACCCAUUGUUCUAAAUGUUACGCAAUGGAGUUAUAUUUUCUGCCAUAAGAAUACUUUUGUUUGGAAUAUAACAUUGAUAUGUUUUACACAGAGUUUGUGUUUUUUUGGAGAUUGGUUGAGAUGUGCAUUUUUUAGAUUUAUGUAAUUGAAAAUGGAUUACAGAAUGAGAACCUCCAGCAGGGCACAAGCAAUUUUUCUAAUAUUAUCUAGUUUGAAAAGAAAUGCCCACUCACUAAUACCAUGGAAGAAAAUGCCGAUAAUAUCGGCGAUAUAUCGCCGAUAUUAUCGGUUUUUCGCCGGACCGAUAUUUUAAUAGAUAUCCAAAGGGUUUUCGUCAAAAUAUUGCGAGCCGAAAAGAGAGUGAGAGAAGGAAAUGGGGUCUCGGGGUAGGGGAGAGACCCACGUAGUGGGUUGGGUUCUUUGUAUUUUAAAAAGUUGUGGUCAUGUUUUAAUUAUGAAAACCCACGUAGUGGGUUCUUUGUAUUUUAAAAAGUUGUCCAAGUUUGAGAUCCACCCACACUACGUGGGUGUUUUAUAAUUUUAAAAGUUUGAGAUAUAUUUUAUAUAUAUAUAAAGGUUAUAUAAAUUUAAAUUAUGAAUUAUUUAGUUGAAAGGCAGGAGAAAACAAAAGAAAAAAAGGAAAAGGAAAAGAAAAUAAGAAAGAAAAAAAAAACAUCAGGGGGAUUCAAACCCCUCCCUUUGUCAACCACACACCUAGACCUUAUCCAACUCGCUAUAGAUGUGUUUGUAAUUACAUAUUCAGCCUGUAAUAUUUAUAUGGUUGUUAAGAUGUCUGCAAGGCUUGCAAGCUAAUAUUUAUUAUCUAGGAUAAAUUUCUAUAUUUAAAAACACCAAGGGGAUUCGAACCCCUCCCAUUUUACUCCUUCAACACCUUGACCACCAUAUCACUUAUGUUUUUGUGAAAAUAUGCUAAAAUACACUUACUCUACACAUAGAGAUGACGAAGAUAAUGAAAAUUUUGAACCUCAUAAGAACUCUAUGUGGUACUAAGUCACUCAUUUAUCUUACCAAACAAUGUAUAAAGUGUAAAAUAUUGUACUAAUUCAUUAUAUAUAAAUGAUUAUGGUGUGUUUAAACUUCUUUCAUUAAUUACUACAUAUUUUCUACACUCACAAUGUUUGCCAGCUCGCUAUAUAAUCAACUUAAAUCAGUUAAAUCCAUCAUGCAAUGCAUUUCCUUCCAAUAUUUUGUGAUAAACUAAUAGAUAAUUAACUAAAUAAACAUCAUGCAAAGUUUCAUUAAAAAUUUCCAAGUUUUUCUUACAAUUUCCGCGGUUUCCAUGUAAUUUUUAUCAAUAUUGAUAUUAUCCCGAUAUUUCCAUCGAUAUUUCCGUGUUUUCGGACUACCGAUAUUUCCGAUAUUACCGAUAUUUUCUUCCUUGAUCAUGUCGUAAUCCGUCGUCCCUGCGUGCUCUCUGAAUUUGCCGGGGUAAGUCUCUCCUAUUUAGAAAACCACUAUACAUGUUUGUGAUGAGUCGAUAUUAUACCAUAUAUUUUACCCUAGAUGAUUGUAUCAAAGUUUCAUAAUUAUCUACCAAGCUGUUUGAACGUGGCGAAGAAAAGAAGACCCAGCGCACAACUUUCCCAGAUUGACGUUUCUGGACAUUUUGGGUAUUUUGAAGGUCAAGAUGGCAUAUUUUGAGGAAGAUUACUUCUGAGGUUUUGUAGGGGAUGUCUUUAGCUUUCAAAAGAGACAUUUUGAGACCAAAUCAGAGUUGAUUUGAUCGGUCAAAAGUUUGAUUUUCUGAGAAGUCCGAAUUUCAGUUAAAAUACGAAACUUUUUAUUUCCUAUUUAUCUUAUUCUAUUAUGUUUCCUAGUUUUUAGAAGACCUUUUCUAAAUAGAAUUUUAUUUUGGAGUACCAUAAAUAAGGCUUUUUAGCCAUUAGAAUAGGUACGCAUCAAUUUGGGAGAACUUAACUAGGCUUUGACGUUUUGUAUUUCAAGGUGUUUUCUAUCCUUUUUCUAUUUCAAUAAAUUUCCUUUUGUUUUAUGGUUGUUCGUAAUGCCUUGAGCCUUAGCAUGAAUAUGUAGUCUUUAUUUAAUUGCUUAUGAUAUUAUAUAUGCAUACUUUGAAUUAUUAAUCACUUUGUUUAAACUAUCUCUAUAUCUUAAUGCUUAGCUACCAUUAGGAUGUUUAGAUAAGUAAUCGGAGGCAAUUCGGUCGGAAUGCCACUUGAGGAUUAAGUAUUGCUUCUUGUGAUUGAUAGUUGUAAUUUCACUGAGGGUGAAUGCCACGUCUUAGGGGUUGCAUGAUUUUUCAAAGGAUUUUCACAAAGCAUAAUGAGUCAUGCAUGUUUAUAUUUGAUCUAAAUGCCACAAACGGAUUGCAUGUUUGAUAUACAUUCUAACUUGAAUGCCACAAAUAGAAUAUGCAUAAGGAAAACUUAACCUUCAAAGUUGUAUAUGUAAUUCAUAAGUAAUUGGUAAAACUACAUAGGAUUGUUAAGGUGAUGACGGAACCCUAGUACUUUCUCACUUUGAAUUCUAAAAAUUGUUUCAUUUUUCCUUCUUUAAAAUUGCAGAUUUUAGUUAACUUUUUUAUUUAAUUUCGUUAUUUCUAAAUUUAGGUAAUUAAAUCAACCUUUUCCAAUCUUCGUUUUCAAAUAAUUAACUAUGAUUUUGGUUUUGCAUAAAUUGUUUUAAAUAAUUCCGGCAGAAAACAACCUUACUUGAGUCAUUUAUACUACAACUACCUUGUUCUUAUCAAGAAAUUGACGCCGUCGUCGGAGAUUGUUAUAAAUAAUCUGUGUUUAUUAUAUUCUUAGUUAAUUAUUAUUGUACAUACAAAUAUUUUUUUAUUUUAUUGCUGAUUUUAUUUUUUUUAGGUAGGUUUGUUGAUUUUUGAGAGCAGUGCAAUGAUCGGCUGCAAACUACCACCAGCAAGACCACCACCUUUUUGGGAUUCUUCAGCAUCAAUGGAUUGGUUUGGAUUCUCACAAGAACCUCCAACAUAUUGGUUUGGAUUCCCACAAGAAAACACCUUGUUACAAUCUGUCGAUUUUGGUAGCAAUUCAACGAUGGGCUGGGAACUACCACCACCAAGAGGACCACCUUUAUGGGCUUCUUCACAAAACAAGGAAAUUUUCCAGACUAUGUUAAGGAGCAUAUUAAUAUGAGGAACGACUCACAUUGGCAUUGGAACAAUCCCACUUUUGAUUACUAUGCUCCAGAUUUGAAAAAACUUCCUAAUUUUAGAUCGACAGGUACUCAAGAGCCUUUUGAGUAGCCUGUUGUGCCACAAGAUUAAGAGGAAUGGUGUGUAGUUCAAACGCCCAAUGCGCCGCGAGUUAUGACUAUAUGCCGGAAGACUCCAAAAUUGAAGGAUCACCUGGCGAUGACUCUAGCCUAAUGGAGGAAAUUACUGAUCCUGAAAUUUCAACAAAAUAUGCCGCUACCCAGGUCUAUAUACCACACAUUCUCUUUCAAAAGGCUGCAAUGCAACCCACAAAGCUGCAGGAACAUGUUGAAACUGACGAGUUGGACAAUGUUGUUCAAAACAAGUCAGAAUUUGAUGAUUCCCAUGAUCAGAUUUUGAGCACUCAAACCAUUUUGGAUACAGGGCAGUCUAUUGAUAAAAAAGUUUUGGUUGUUGAAAGAAAAAAGCCAACAGUAGAGGCCAUCAAAUUUCAAGAAUGUUGGGGCCAAUUUUAUGAGCAUGCUAAAUUCUAUAAGGGCAAGCAUGAAGAACUUAACGGCAGCCCAAUCCUUUGUCAAAGAUUUGACCAGUACAAAAAUUGUGGGAAUUAAAUACAAGGUUCAAGGCAGCUCAAUGAAAACAUAAACUUCACUGGAAACAGCCUUAUUUGAUUACGAAAAUUCAUUCACAUGGAAGGGCAAAUAUAAAGGAUUCAACCACUGAAUUGAAACAUAUAAUUGAUAAACAUCAGCUCAUUCCAUACCUACUUUUACCCUCUGAUGCUGCCAAUGAAUGGUUGACUCUAAAAGAACAAAUCAUGUGAUCAUCAGAUUCUUUCAAAUCUGUCUAGUUAUAGACGUUAACUAAAGCACUAAUUGGAAGGCAACCCAAUUUUUAUAACUCUUUUCUUCUUAUUUGCGUUUAUUUUAUUUUCUUCCUUAUAUUCUUUUUCACAAAAAUAAAAAGAUUAAAAAAAAUUCAGAAAAUUGAAAAACACAAAAACAGAAUUUUUUAAAAGUUAAUAAGUAUUUUAUUUGGAAUUUAUUCUAGUGCAAUUUUAAUUUUGUGAUUUUAUGCAGGUUGAAUUUGAACCAAAUACGGGAAUCGACUGAAUCAUGCAUUCAACAACAUUCAUCCACUCACCUCAGAAUGCAUUCAACCAUCCAUUCAUCACAGCUCUGCAUUCAAGAUCAACGUUAAAGUGCAGAAACAUAAAAGGAAUGCGAACUGGAGUUGAAUUCUGAAAUGCUUACAGUGGGGUUGCUGUGCUGACCUCCAUACCGCUGGACCCUCUUUCACUCACUCUCUCUCACAUUUCAAUAAAAUAGUUGUUUUACAAACAAGCUUGGGGGUUGCCAGCUAUUUACCUUCCUUUUGGAUCUGAAAAUCGUGGACUCUGCGAAAAAGCUUCAGUUCUCUGUCACUCGAGUUUUCCUGCGCACAGAUCAGAGCAUGCAUGUGUUAUUUUUCUCUCCAACUGAGCGGUGCAGAUCAACAGCAAAGAAAUUCGGAUGAGGGUUUACCUUUUGGACUCUCAAAUUUUCAGUAUGCCAGCAACUCCGUUUGCAAGCGUAGUGGACUCAAUGGAACUCGGUGCUGUGCAUUUAGGGGGUGCUUCUGGGUUUUGGCUGAGAAGGCAUCGCGAGGAGUAGAAAUGACUAGGGCUGGGUGUUUCGGUUUUUAUUUUAGGUUUAAGAGAAAAGGAGAGAGCCCUCUUGGUGUUAGGUUUGGAAAUGAAGGUAAUGGGGCUGAAACCUAGUUUGUAUAGACCAACGGUAGGGUUAUUGGCACGAGCGUGCUCGCACGUGAGUGGGCAGAGGCUUUCUCCAUUCCUAUUCCUGCCCCCAGGUCACGAGUUCGAUCCCAGCGCCUGGAAAAUUUGCCUUUCCCCAGCUCCAGGUCCUGUCUUCGAACCCAGGUGCGUCCACUUCCAUUCCCUUUAUUUUAUUUUUCGUUUUGUAUCAUUUUAUAUUUUGUUCUGCUUUGUCUUUUGUUUUAUUUUCGUCUUUCUAUUUCUAGUCAGUUAAGGUGGUUGUUUAUUUUUUAUUUUUUUGUUUUAGUUUAUUUUUUCUGUUCUUCUAUUUUUUGCAUUUCGAGGAUAAUGUGUGAUUUAAGUUUGGGGGUGGGAAAUAGAAUUUUAGGUUUUUAAUUUUUGAGUCAAUAAAAAUUUUCAUUCUUUUUAAGUUAAUAUCCAUAGAUUAUUUUAAACUUUAGAACAAAUGGACAUGGUGAAGGUUAAUCCCACAUUAUAUUCUUUUCUAUUUAUUGUUGCUUAGACACUAAUUCAUGACUUAUACUUUGAAAAUUUGCAUGUUCACACCAACAUGGUUUUGUGGGGGAGUGAGAUUGAAACACUUACUUUUUGACUAAGGGUAUUUUAAUUUUUGUUCUUAGUAAAGUAAAGUUUAGUUUGUGUUAUAAAUAAAGUAAUAAUUGUUCCACCCGAAACUUUGCUUAGUAAUCGGGCUAGUUUUGCCUGAUCAGUAAGUGAUUCUCACGUCAAACAGUAGAGUUCUGGCAUGGGGCAUGGUGGUUAGUUGGUUUCAUAGCCUUUUCAGCUCGAGUUAAUAAGUCCUUAGGUGUUCUACACUUAGUGCCAUAGAGCCUUAGUGGUUUGGGAAUAGUUUUCUAAAACACGGCCUAGGCGGCCGCCUAGGCGCUAGACGGCGGUGCUCCCCCAUGAUUAUGCCGAAAUCGUUUACUAAAUCGGCAAAGCUAUUAGGCGGCAUAAGUCGGACGUCUAGGCGGGCUAAACGGUCGCUGGGCGGGCUAGACGGAAGCUGGACGAUCUGGGCGGCUUGGGAAAAUACGAUAGCCUACCCAGAAGUAGGCAGACACGAGGAAAUCUAGGCAUUGUGUGUCUCGCCGUUUCCUUUAGGUGUGACGAUGGUCUACGAGAGAGAGAGAGAGAGAGAGAGAGAGAGAGAGAGAGAGAGAGAGAGAGAGAGAGAGAGAGAGAGAGAGAGAGAAAGAGAGAGAGUAUGAAUCUGCAAUUGCAGAUAUGGUGAUAAGCAGACAGCGGCAAUGGUUUUUGCUGAGCAGCUUAGAGUUUUCUUUUCAAAGUAAGUCGGUGAUUGGGAAUCGGGAUGCCUAAAUACAAGUGUCUUUGGUUUGUUUUAUUCUAACAGGAUAAUAAAUGGAUUAGUUAGAUGACUUUGGGUUUUUUGUUAGGGUCCAUUACGCCCAUCUAUAAAUGGACUUGACAAUUCUACUCAAAGAUAAGACAAGGAAUACAAGGCCCAACCUUGCAUAUUUUCAUACAUAGAUGUAUAUUAUUUUUUAUUAAGAAAUAACAUAUUAUUCAAUGUUUAUUUACAUAUUAUAUAGUAAAUUUACUUAAAUCCGUCUAACCGUUUAGUUGUUAGGCCCCAAUCCGCCUCGCGACUAGCACCUAACGUUUUUUAGAACCUUUUUUUGGGAGUCAUUGACCUAAAGCUCGUUAUAUGGGUUGGACCGAAAGCUUAAGUGAACUGACAUUGCAAGACCACCACUGUUACUAGAAAAAGAAAAAAAAAUUGAAAAAAAAAAGAAAAGAAAAAAAAGAAGAAGAUCUUUUUGAGGUUAUUAUGUGUGAAGUAGUGAAUAAAGAGGACGAGAGGUAAAGACUUUUAGUCGUGUCUCUUUAACUAUGUUGGUUCACUCUACACCAAAGGAAAUUCAUGAAUUCUUUUCUAAUUGAUUCUAAAUGGCUUAGACUUUGUAGUGGGAUUGGUUGGAACUUUUGGAAAGAUGUUCUAAUUUUUAACGUUUUCUAUGAGUUGCAAUUUGAAGGUGAAAUUUUUUGUGUCUUAGUAAAUUUUGUUUAAGUUUCUUAGUCUUUCUUUUAUUUUCUAGUUUUGUUUUGCUUGAGGACAUGCAAAAUGCUAAGUUUGGGGGUAUUUGAUGAGUCGAUAUUAUACCAUAUAUUUUACCCUAUUCUUGGUUAUAGUUUAUUGGUUGUUUUGGUAGAAUUUUAAUACUUUGUUAUGUAUUUUCAAUGUAGGACAUUUGACUUCCUUUAGAGAAAAAUGUGAUCAAAUGAAUGAAUUUUAGAGUUUUUCCAAUUAGAGGAUGUUCAUGUGCCUUUCAAUAUGAUUGUCUCAAAGUUUUAGAUUUUUCUACCAAGCCGUUUGACCAUGGCGAAGAAAAGAAGGUCCAGCGCGCAGCUUUCCCAUAUUGAUAUUUUUGGAUGUUUUGGGUAUUUUGAAAGUCAAGAUGACAUAUUUUGAGAAAGAUUACUUCUGAGGAUUUGUAGAGGACGUCUUCAUCUUUCAAAAGAGACAUUUUGAGACCAAAUCGGAGUUGAUUUGAUGGGUCAAAAGUCUGAUUUUCUGAGAAGUCCAAAUUUCAGGUCAAAUAGGAAACCUUUUAUUUUGCUAAUUAUCUUAUUUUAUUAUGUUUCCUAGUUUUAGAAGACCUUUUCUAAGUAGGACUUUAUGUUGUAGUAGUAUAAAUAAGGCUUUUUAGCCAUUAGAAUAGGUACGCAUCAAUUUGGGAGAACUUAGUUAGGCUUUGACGUUUUGUAUUUCAAGGUGUUUUCUAUCCUUUUUUCUAUUUGAAUAAAAUUCAUUUUGUUUUACGGUUGUUCAUAACUAAUUUCCAUUUGCUAGGGCGAUGCCUUGAGACUUAGCAUGAAUAUGUAGUCUUUAUUUAAUUGCUUAUGAUAUUAUAGAUACAAACUUUGAAUUAUUAAUCACUGUGUUUAAAUUGUUUCUAUAUCUUAAUGUUUAGCUACCAUUAGGAUGUUUAGAUAAGUAAUCGGAUGCAAUUCGGUCGGAAUGCCACUGGAGGAUUGAGCAUUGCUUCUUGUGAUUGAUAGUUGUAAUUUCACUUAGGGCGAAUGCCACAUUUUUGGGGUUGCAUAGUUUUUCAAAUGGUUUUCACUAAGCGUAAUGAGUCAUGCAUGUUUAUAUUUGAUCUGAAUGCCACAGACAUAUUGCAUGUUUGAUAUACGUUCUAGCCUGAAUGCCACAAGUAGAAUAUGCAUAAGGAAAACCUAACCUUCAAAGUUGCACAUGUGUAAUUCAUAAGUAAUUGGUAAAACUACAUAGGAUUGUUAAGAUGACGGCGGAACCCUAGUACUUUCUCACUUUGAAUUCUAAAAAUUGUUUCCUUUUUCCUUCUUUAAAAUUGCAUAUUUUAGUUAACCCUUUUAACUAAUUUCGUUUUUCUUAAUUUAGGUAAUUAAGUCAACCUUUUCCAAUCUUCGUUUUCAAAUAAUUAACUAAGAUUUUAAUUUUGCAUAAAUUGUUUUAAAUAAUCCCUACGGAAAACGACAUUGCUUGAGCCGUUUAUACUACAACUACCUUAUUCUCUUGCAAGUAUUUUAAGUGUUUUUAUCCCAACUUUUGUAGGUGGUCCAAGUCCCUAUCAGUUUGUACAAUGAGGGGUUACUAUAUUCCAAAAAGCAAGGUUCUAGAAAACUUUUAUUUUUGCCCAGUCACACCUUUUUGAUUUGUAGCUCUUCAGGAGUUAGUAGUUGUACAGACGAGGAUCACUUGCAGUUUCUGACGUUCACUUUCAAUAAUGUAGGAAGUUGUUUAUGUUAUUUUUGUGCAUAUACUCUUUACAUUUCUGCACAUUUAUCAAUGCUCUAACACUGGAUGCAUUGUAAAAAGAGUGUAUCCCACAUUGUGCACUCUUAGUUUACUAUAUUUUGAUAUGAAAAAAGACAGUUACAUUAGUAAGGGGAAUAAACAUUACCCCACACAAAACAAAAAAAAAUUACAAGAAAUGAGGGGUAUAUAAACCUUACCCUUCUUGCAAAAGAAAAUACAAUAAAAAAAAAGGGGACAAGGUAAUAUACAUAUCCUAACAAUCUUAGUAAGGGGGAUAAACACCCUCAUAAAACAAUAAAAAUAAAAUACAGGAAACUACCUUACCUUUCUUAUAAAAGAAAAUACAAGGAAAAAAGAGAGGGACAUAGACCUAAAGCAAAAGGUAAUAUACAUAUCCUCGUAGUCUUUGGUAUGAAAAGAAAACCGAUAAGAAGCACAAUCUAGUCUCCUCUAAGCCUUCUUUUCAUCAUGUUCACACGCACUGUAAUCAUGAAAUAGAGCCUAUCUUGUACAUUGUCAAAUAAUUUAAAAUGCAUAUCUCCCUUUCUUCUUAACAAUUAAAGAACCACACACUCCCCAAAAUCCUACGAUGAAACCUAGUACGGUGAAAAUAUACAAUCAUGAAAAAUCAUGCUCAUUGUCCACACCUAGGUUGUUCUUGCUAUCUGCAUCAAUGCCCUUAAUUGGUAGACACUCAUUCGGAAGUGGAGGGCCACACAGUUUUGAAUUCUCCUCAAAUGCAGAAGCAUCGAAACUUUGGAGCUGAGUGCUUGUUGGGAUUGGUCCUAAAACAAAACCUGGACAGAAAGAUGUAAUGCAUUAAACAACUCUACUACCAGAAGUUACCAGAUAACAAUUCACACGAAAUAGGUGCAAAUACCUUUGUUGCCUUCUUAAGCCUCAGCAGUGGGAUGACAACAGAAACCUGAUCUGCUAGUAUUACAUCAAACGAUGGCCACGUGAACAGCUUGCAGAGAGCAAUAGAAAGGCACCGUAUAUAUCCACACAAAGCAUGGAGUCGAUAGAAUAUAUGUCGGGGUAGGAAGGCACCAUAUAUAGUAACUGGAAAGAUACCUGUGAAACCAAAUGACAGUAUAACAUCAAACUAUGCAGUGAUCUUGAAUGACAGUUGAUCAACGCGAAACUGAUAAAUAAAAACAAAAGAAAGGAAAACAUGUUGUGUUUGUUCCAACUCUUAUACAUUCCCAAAGGGCCUAAAAGAAGCGAAACGUAUAAACCACCUUCUAACCCCAAGGCCUAACAUCCAUCUAUAUACAUAUUACCCUAUUUGAUGAAGCUCCCAUUUACCAUAUUAGAAUGUGAGCAUUCAACCCAAAACCAAUUUGCGACAGGUGUAGAGGCAAUUAUCCAUCCGCCUUUUUGUCCAUUAGAUUGGCAAUUAUAAAAAAAUAGUAUUUUUUCAAUUCAAUCACGACCUUUCAAUUCUCGUACCACUGAUACUAUUGAUGAAAAAAUGAUUUAUUUGAUCAAAGCAUAGAACUGAAGUCGAGAAAGCCACGCACUGCCACACACUAGAAACGGUCUCCUCAAAGCAUCGAUUUUUAUCGGUGGUGGGAAGUGAAAACGUGAACUUUAGUCGACGAUCAGUCUUUCAGCUCCACCUACCCAUCACAUUCACAACAUCAAAAACUCCAUCCCAAAAGCUCCUCCACAAUUUUCAUGAACAACAGAAGGAAAAGAGAAGAAGAAGGAGUUACCGAUGCCCAGAUCGGGAUGAAUGAUUGCAAUGUUCGACUUGGAGCCUCCUUUCUUCUCCGCCAUUUUUUCAGCUCCUUCUUUCGCCCCAAUUCUCUGCACAUUCUAAUUCAAAAUCUCAAUAAGGAGAAACCAUUUCUGCUGUAUUGGGCCGAAACGGGUCGGGUGUGACCCAAAUUGUGUAAUUAUAAAACUAUUUGAAACUGGUUUUUACAUAAAUAAGCACAUGAGUUGGUUCUUCGACAUCGUGCCGACGUAAAUCAUGCAAGAGCAGUUUAUGCUUUGUAAUAGUAAGAUUUUGAUGGUAAUCAGGCGGCGUGUUUUAUAAAAAGACACAGUUAUAGUUUCUGAUAUUUACGUUUGGGUUCAGAUGUUUUGUGUUAUUCUAUUUACAUUAUCUUGUACAGUAGUACCAUAUCAGCCAUAAUACCUUCAUUUAAAUUUCGCCAUAUGUCCUUAUUUUUAUAGAGCUGGAAUUUAAUUUCAUUUUGACCUUUUAAACAUAUCUAUCAAACCGAAAUGAAGCUAAACACAUCCAAGAACUUUCCCCGCCCACACCUUGAAACCUUAAACCAUAAACUAUCCCCACAGGAAAGCAUGGUGAGAAAGAAUAUGACUCGACAUGCUCGAAGUAGACAUUCAAAAUUGUAAUAUUUCAACUUUCAAAAUAUGAACAUAAGAAGAAAAAUAAAAAAACAUAAGAAAAUCUUCAACCUAACUAGAUUAAUAUAUUUAAUUGAACAACGUAUUCCUGCACAACGUCAUGUAGUCUUCCAUACCGUGCUAUAUAAUUCUCUCUUCAGACUCUUAUUGUUCGAGCAAAUAUUUGUAGAGAAUGACUCUGUCAUGCCAUCACGCUUCAAUACCCAUUCUCUAAGCCAUCUGGUAGUCUUAAAUGACAUAAUAUUUCAACAUACACAAGCUAGGGAUAUUAAAAACAUAGAUAAACGCCAAGCACGCACCCUUGACAGAAUCACCCUUAAAAGUGCUACUAGUAUUAAUUUUUACAUAGAGAAAACAUCAGAAGUAUACAUAUUCUUGUAGUCUUCGGUAUGAAAAGAAAACCGAAAAUGUACAAUGAAAAGUACAAUAUAGUUUCCUCUAAGCCUUCUUUUCAUCAUUGUCAUACGCACUGUAAUCAUCACAUAGAACCUAUCUUGUACAUUGUCUAACAAUUUAAAAUAUGCAUAUCUUCAUGUCUUCUUAACAAUUAAAAAACCAAACACUCCCCAAAAUCCCAGGAUGAAACCUAGUAUGGUGAAAAUAUACAACCAUGGAAAUUCAUGCUCAUUGCCCACGCCUUGGUUGUUCUUGCUAUUUCCAUCAAUGCCCUUAAUUGGUAGACGCUCAUUCGGAAGUGGAGCGCCACACAGUUUUGUAUUCCCCUCAAAUGCAGAAGCAUUGAAACUUUGGAGCUGAGUGCUUGUUGGGAUUGGUCCUUCAAGAUUAUUGUAUGAGACAUUGAAAUAUUUUAAGAAAUUAAAGCUUGCCAAUGACAAUGGGAUGUUUCCAGACAAAUGAUUCAUGGAAAGAUGCAAAUUCUCUAGAUUGUUUAGGUUGGAUAAUUGUUCUGGAAUGUUGCCGGAAAAGUAGUUGCCUCUAAGAUCCAAGUUGUGGACAAGGUGUAAUUGGCCGAUCUCAGUUGGUAUGCUGCCAUGAAUGUGAUAGAGAGAUAGGUCUAUUGUUGGUGGAGAAAAGAAAAAUAUUCACAGGCAGUUUAGGUCUGCAGGGGAGAACAUAGGCAGGUCAAUAUAAAAAACUACUUGAGUUGUGGUCGGUUCAUGUAGCAACCUUGGGAGUCCAUAAAGUUCUUUUGGAAUUUCACCGGAAAUUUGGUUGCCUGCCAAGCUCAAGAAUAAGAGUUUGGGAAGAGUCCCCAGGGAUCGAGGAAUUUGCCCUAUAAUUCUACUACAUCUCAUACACAAAAUCUCCAUAUUCUUGAGUUUUGAUAACCAUAAAGGCAUUUAACCAAUGAACUCACAAUUAAUAAAACUCAAAAUUCGAAGAUUUUGGAAACCACCGUAAUCAAGCAUGUCUUCACUAGCUGGCAUUACCUUUGAAUGAAUACCAAAGUUUGAAGACUUUGGCAACGCAUUAAUAUCUCCAUUGCCCUAUUGAUGUUGGUUAAGCCACCAAGCGAGAGAAGGGACAAAGAUUUCAAUGAAAGAAUUUGAGGAUGUAUUUGUUCCUCUAGAUUAUUUGAAGCCAAAUUAAUAGCUUUUAGGAACUGGCAUGAAUAAAGGCUUGUUGGAAAUGUACUAGUAAAUUGGUUUCCACGUAGGUCAGGUUUACUGAGGUGACUAAGUUUCGAGAAAUUGACCAUGCAAAUAUCCCCUUCCAAGUUGUUGGCUGCGAUGUAUUUCUACAAGGUUAGUGCAAUUCAUCAAUGAUGGGGGCAAAGAACUUUCAAAAUGGUUGUGAUCAAGAGCCAAGUGUUUCAAUUUGGAGAGCUUUCCAAAAUGGAGAGGGAGCACGCCACUCAAUUGAUUAAAAGAGAGGUCAAUGAUUGCUAGGUUGGUGAGGUUGAAAAUUUUCUCACUUAUGGCUCCAUGGAGUGAAAUGGAAGGGAAGGCAAUCUCUUCAAGUUUGGUGGCAUUGUAGAUAUCUUUCAGGAGUGGCCCUGAGAGGUUAUUGUUACCGGCAGGGAAAAUGUGUAGUUUUGAACCCUCCCUGAGUCCAAGAGAAAUUUUACCUUUGAAUGCAUUGAGGGAAAAAUCCAAUAGCCUGAUCAAGGGAGAAGAACGAAGACAUAUGGAGGAUGGGAUCCAACCUGAGAAGCUAUGGUUGUGGACGUUGAAACUAGUUAAAUUUUGAGCUUGUCGAAAGAAUGAUAAUGGAAUUGCACCAUGGAAGCGAUUGCUUGACAAGUCCAACGUCUGGAUAUUAUGGGAUGGCAGAGAAAAUGUUAGCUUUCCAAAAAGAAGAUUAAAGCUCAAAUCAAGGAUCUCAAGACGAUUCAAAGACAAGAAGAAUUCAAUUCCAAGUUGUUCGGAAAGAGAGAUUCAAGUGGGUGAGGUGUGUGAGAUGUCCAAGUGAUGAUGACGAGGGGAAAAUAGCUCUUUUGAGACCUUUGGAGGAUAAGAGCAAGGGGGUGACCAAACCAUCCUUAUUACAAGUGAUGCCCUUCCAACGGCAACAGUUAACCAAAGUCCAAUUUAAAGGACGAGAAGAUAGGGUGGAGGCGAAGGACAGAAGAGAGGCGCGCUCAGUUUGGUUGCAUGCAUGAACAUUUGUAGAGAUGAUGUGCGCUCAGUUUGGUUGCAUGCAUGAACAUUUGUAGAGAUGAUGUGAGAGAAUAAAAGGAUGAGAAGGAAGCCAUGAGCCAUUGGGUUGGAAAGUAAGCUGUUCUAGCUUAGAUAUGUUUCUUUACAUUCGGAAUCCUCAAAGUUUGGGAAUAUAUAGAGCAACUAAAUGCCUACAUAAUCUGAAGUUCUUUUCUGUCUUCGUUUUAGCUUGAAGACGAAGAAACACUAAAGCUCAAAAACGCUAGCGGCAAACAUCACAGCAAACUAAAAAAUUGGCAAACAACCAUAGCCAUACAAAUGUUCCAAACCCCUCUAUGAAGCGACACCGAAUGUUGGUUUUCGUAUGCACGUGCUGUUUAGUACUAUCAACAUUUCGUGUUUGGCGUACCAAAACCUGAAUUAACUUAAUCGAACGAGUAUUUUAAACGUAUAUAUUUAAAAUAUUUUAAAAUGCAAAUAGAAAUUAUCUAUUUUUUGUCUAAGUGAGCGUCACUUAGGUAGUUUUAGGCAUUGUUUCUUAUUUUUUAAAUGCCUAGGAAUUAACCUUAGAGGUUGCCAGCCGCCUAGCGUCUAAACGGCGCCAUGGCGGCCCUAAGCAGGGCCUUUUAAAAAAACGUUUCAAAGUCUACAACGGGCCAUAUUUUGCAAAUAUGCCCUAGAUGAAGACAACAACAUUCAAAAGAACUAAUGUCUUUCCUUCUAGGUAAUUGAAAAAAGAACAUAACAUUUGAAUUUGGGGGAGCAUAGCUAAAAUGCGGUUGCAAAUUUGCCCUAGAUGAAGACAACAACUUUCAAAAGAACUAAAGCCUUUCCUGUUAGGUAAUUGAAAAAGGAAUAUAACAUUUGAAUUUUGGGGAGUACAGCUAAAAUACUGUGACAGUGACGCCUAGAAAUCCAGAGUACUUGACCAAAAAAACAAGUUGUUUUUUCCCUAAAAUUAUUAUUUUUUAUCGUUAGUCAAAUCAAUCCCUUUAGAGGAAAUUAUAGUCAAGGUUCAUUAAAGUAACGAUUACUCAACUAUAAAUUCAUGACCAAUAGUCCCUUAAAUUCUCAAUAUGUGCAGUUAUGGUCAUUUUCAUCAAUCCAUCAGAAAUUUCAUUAAAACGAGUCAUGUUGAAAGUUUAAUUAUUACUACAAUUAAGUUAAAGUUGAGGAACUUAUGCUCUAAUUGGGUUAAAGUUGAGGGACUAUUUCUCCAAUUGGAUUAAAGUUAAGGGACCAUUUGUACAAUAUUUCCAGCUAGUUUCCCAUAUUUUCUCCUUGAUUAUGACCUCACGUGCUUGGCGUGCGACUCAUUUUGACGGAAGUUUUAACGGAGUUGACGAAAAGGACCAUAGGUACACAUUUUGAUGAAUUAAGAGACCAAUUGUCAUGAAUUUUUAGUUGAGGGACCAUUGCUCUAAUCAAGGUUCUAAAAGUCGCUAGGCGCUAGUCGGGCGGCGGGCUGGGGCCUAGCGCCUAGGCGCCUAGGCGGGGCCUAGGCGGACUAGGCGGAUUUAAGUAAAUCUAUCAUAUUUCAUGUAAAUAAGUGUCUGCUUCUACUUGAAAUAUAUAUAAUUUCAUCAUAAACUACAAAAUAGAAUGCAUAUAUAUCAUGAAGUAUUGGAACAUAAUGAAAACAUGUGAAAUAAGGAUAUAAUGUUUGUUCAUUCAAGUAUGCAACAAGUCUCUUACAAUUUAUUGGAAAAAAACAAAAUACAAAAUGAAAGUUAUGUAUUUUUUGUCUAAGUGAGUUGCAACCUAGGCGGGUCUAGGCGGGUGCCUAGGCGGGUUAGGCGGGUGCCUAGGCAGUCUAGGCGGUGGGUUAGGGCCUAGGCAUUAAUCGGGGCGGUGGGCUGGGGCCUAGCGCCUAGGUGGGGCCUAGGCGGCGCUAGGCGGGGAUUUUUAGAACAGUGGCUCUAAUUGGGUUAUAGUUGAGAGACAAUUGCUACAAUUUUCUCAUCCUCUUGUUAGAUCACAAUAUUUUAUUAUUUACUAAUUCAAUUUUAUAAUUUUAUUAUUUAUUAUGAAUCAACAUCUUUAAAGUAAAUGACAAGUUUCAAGAACCCACGGGUUUCAUCAACCUCAUUUUCUAAUUUUUUUUAGGGUAAAAUAUUGAUUUAGUCUUUGAAUUACCACUUCAGUGAAAAUUAGGUCCCUUAAUUAUUUUUCGAUAAAAUAAGUCUCUAAAUUCAUUAAAGAUUGCUAAUUUCAUCCCUACUAUUAUAUUCAAAAUUAUUUUAUCCAAUUUUUUGUUAACUUAAAUCACUUGACAUACAUUAUAGUGUAAUACCAUCAUUUUCUCACCUAGAAGCCCUUAACAUUUUAUAUCGGUUGUGAAUCUAACGUCUAAUUUACCCUCCAAAGUUAACUUCAUACACUAUUUCGUUAUGAAAAAUUACCAAUUUACCCUUCAAUGUGUAUCACAUGCAAAUAGCGUGACUUAAGUUGACAAAAAAUAUAGUAGCUUCAAUUCUAAUAUUAGGGAUGUAAUUGGUAGAUUUUUAUAAUUCAAGGAUUGAUUUUUUUUGAAAAAAAAUAGUUUAAAAACCUAAUUUUCACUCAAUUUUUUCACUCCGUUCUCUCUAAAAGAAUGCGGUUAUUUCGAGAAUACAAGUAAAUCACAUAAGUUUCAAUAAUAGUUAUUAUGUGUAGUAUAAUAUGAUAUGUUUAUCUAUCUAUCUAUCUAUAUAAAGUAAGAGCCCAAAACAGUGAAGCUUUCCAAAAUGUCGAAAAUGUCCCUUUAUUUCCUUCACAAUCAAAACUCAAAAACUUCAAAAUAGAGGAUAGACAGGUGAAAAAGCAUCACUGCACAAAAAAACUGUAUUGAAAAAAAACAAACAAAAACAUUUAAAUAGUGCGAGAAACAAAUAAAAAAUAUAUAUACAAAAAGAAAAAGAAAAAUAAUAAAUAAUAAAAAUAGCUCAAACGGAAAAGUUGGAAAAUAAAUAAAAAAAUAAUAAAAAUGUUUUAAAAGUAAAAACAAAAUGAAAAGAGAACGCCUACGUGAUGAUCCCUAAAAAUGACCGAGAAAAUAGGGUCCAACCGUUAGCAGUUUUCUCUAAAUAACGCACACGAUUUGAUCUGAUUUUCAGUGGAAAGUUCAAUAAUAAUGUGGAGCAAAAAAUAAUCAAGAAAAUUAUGGAAGUGACACGGGAACUUUUGAAUGAAAAUGACAAAAUUGCCCUCAAGGCACAUCAGGAUUUCCAUUUGCAUGCAACUGACAAUAACGGAAAUCAAAAAAGAGAUAAAGGUGAUCAAAAUAGUAUUUAAUCAAAUCCUUCUCAUCACUCCUCAUCAAAUCCUUAUUCAAAAGGUAACUCCCAAUUUUUCUAUUUAGGGGGUGUAUUCAAUUGAGAAUGUGAGGGAUUUUAAUGGAUUUAUAAAUCCAUGGAUUUUUAUGGAGUUUAAUUGAUUUGUAGAUUCCAUAUAAAAUUUUGAUUCAAUUCCCUCGAAAUCUCAUGGGAAGAGGUGAGAUUUGUGGAUACUUAAAAUACACUACGAAAUCUCUCCAAUUCCCUCUAAUUCUUCAACUUUCUCAAAUUCUUUAAAAUCAAUUUCUAAUUGAAUACACCUGGAAUGUUAUAAACUUCUUUAAAAUCUUAAUUGAAUACACCUGGAUUUCUAAGGAUUUUAAUAAACUAUUUUAAAAUUCUAAUUGAAUACACCUAGAAUUUCAGAGAAUCAUUUAAAAUCCUAAUUGAAUACCCCUGAAAUUAUUAAUUCCCUGAAACUCUUUCAGAAUUCUAAUUGAAUACACAUUUAGGAUUAAUUGUCAUAUUAAUUGCAAGAUAUUAUUUCACAUAAUAUCUUGCAAUAUUCACACAAUUCCACCACAUAUGGCCGGCCACUCCUCUACAAAUAGUCUUUUUUCUCCCAUUAAAAAGUUAAGUCAUUUACUACCUACAAACUCAUAAACACAUUAUUUUCAGAAUUCUAACUUUGGCAUCAGAGAUUCUUCGACUAAAGCCCUCCCAUUCAUCAUGGACGCAUAAGGCUUUUGGCCUUAAUCUUACGUGUUAUUAUUUUGCAGGUGUAUUUUCGUCAAAAUAAAAGACGACGGAAAUUUGCAGCCACAAAUAACUGCCCAUAUUUCAUCAGUAUUUAGAGAUGAAUAAUUGGAAGUUUGCUUCUCCCUUCCUCCUACAUCUAAUGGUUUGGGAAAAAGGGUUUCUUUGAUUAGGAUCAGUUUUCCUUUUUCGUUUUGUUGCUUCUUGCAUUCUUUUUCAACUCUUAGUUUUAUGGUUUUUCAAGAAUAAUUUUUUGAACUAGGCACAGUUUACAAAAAAAUAUAGGAAGGGUCUUUGAAGCCCAUUUACGGAGAUUGAUUCGUGUGUUAGAUGUGUAAAUUGAAAACCCACGCGGAGAUAUUUCAUAACUUACCUUCAGAAUGUGGUGCCAAGCUUCGAUUGGCUAUAUUUCUCAACUCAUGUUUUAUGUUCCUUAGCAUACAAAGUUAUUUUGCUACAGGUUGGGUUUCUGUUUUAUGGUAAUGGUUGUUUCAUUGUUUGAGCAUGUCAAGAUAGAAUGAAAACAUUAUUUUUUGCAUUUUAUUCUUGCCAACCUCUCUGCAAAGAAAGAGAACCAGUGAUCAUCCGAAACUCUGGGGGAGGAGAAACCCCACGAGACAAUCCAUAAUAAAUUAAUAUAUUCAAUCCCUAAUUAAAAUAUUUGUUUAAGUUUAUUCAUUUCGACUGAAGCACAAAUAUCACAGCCUUUCUCAGAUAAAUAGAGAAUAAUUAGAUUUUCUCUACAUGGAACCUGUUGAAAAUUUUAAGGGUAUUUCAAAAUACAAGUGUUUAAUAUCAUAUAAUUGAUAUAUGUUGAAAACAUUAACAGUUGAAAACAUUAGCAGUUGAAAGCAUUGGUAAUGUUGAAACCAUUGGCAGUUUAAUGAAUGCCCACAUAAGUUUUUCAAUACCCACACAAAGCGAUGUAGAUUUGGAAAUAAAGGUGAUCAUAUUUUCAAAGUCAUGUGAUGUAAAUUUCAAAUUGUAAGAACCUGUUUGUAUGGAUCCGCUCUAUAAAUAGAGCACUCCGACUGCAGUUAAAGGAUAUAGAAAGAAUACAGAGAAGAAAGAAAAGAUUAAUAACUUCAAUAUCUAUUCCUCCCUCUUUUAUUUGUCAUCCUCUUGUGCUAUAGGUUCAGUGUGAUAUUUUACACCUACUUCGUUCCUGUCACUAGUAAAGGUUAUCUCUUUAGCUUUUACAUAUUUAUAACACGUUAUCAGCAUGAGUCUCUAAAACCUAACCAUUUCUCAUUUCUCUUCACCGAACGAAAGAAAGGAAAAAAUGUUUCCUCUAAGGUUUUUACUGUUCAUCUUCUUCCUCUACCUCAACUGCGCGAUAUACCCUCGGGAAGAACUGUUUGCUCCAUGCCUACUUCUAGUCCUCAACCUAACAGUUACAUAUAUCUUUGAUUUCUUGUUUGGUGCAGAUCAUGAUUACUAACCCAAUAUUUAUUUAUGUUGAUUUUACUGUAAUCCAAGAUGGUGCGGUACAAUCGCCCAUCUUGAACUACAAAUUUAAUCUUACUGCGAUCCAAGAUGGUGUGGUAUCACCGCCUAUCUUGAACUGCAAAUCUAAUUUUACUGCAACUUAAGUGGUGUGGUAUAAUCGUCUACCCUACCCUGCAUAUUUAAAUUUGCCUGCUGUUUAAUUUCAUUGCAAUUUUAGGUGGUGCGGUAUAAUCGCCCACCCUGCUAUGCGUAUUUAAAUUUUUCCUGCUACUGCAGUGGUGCGGAAUAAUCGGUUAUGUUAUAUUAUAAUGAGAAUGGUGCGGUACAAUCGUUCUCCUCAUUCAUCUUAAAAAUCUCAAGCCUGAACUUUCAAAUGCUUCUCAUUUUGGCCAGAAGUUCUAACACUAUAUUCCUUAAAGAAUACAUAUAAUUGCAAUUUCUUACACAUCUCAUUUUCUUUUAAAAAAGAAAAUGGCGAACUUGACAAAGCUUGAUUUUACUGCCCUUGACGUUACUGGGAAGAUUUACCUUACCUGGGUACUGGAUACUAAGAUCCAUUUGGAAGCAAGGAAUCUUGGAGAUACCAUUAGGGAAGAGAACAACUCAUCAUCUCAAGAUCGAGCGAAAGCCAUGAUCUUUAUUCUUGAUAAGGGACUAAAGAGCGAGUACUAAAUGGUUGAAGAUCCGUUAGCCCUUUGGAAGACAUUGAGAAACAGAUACAAUCACCAGACAACGGUGAUUCUUCCAAUAGCUCGUUAUGAAUGGACUCACCUAAGGAUCCAGGAUUUCAAGUCAGUGGCAGAGUACAAUUCUGCACUAUUCAGAAUUACAUCUCAGAUGAAGCUAUGUGGGGGUACUAUUACUGAGAAAGAUUUGUUGGACAAGACUUUCAGCACAUUUCAUGCCUCUAAUGUGCUCCUGCAGUAGCAGUAUAGAGCGCGAGGCUUCACUGAAUACAACCAGUUGAUAUCUGUGCUCUUGGUAGCUAAAAAAACAAUGAGCUCCUGAUGAAAAAUCAGCAGUCACGACCUACUGGAUAUGCACCAUUCCCAGAAGUGAAUGUUGCUUCCCUCAAAAUGAACGCCACAUCCUCUGGUGGCGAUAAUCAUAAACAAGGACGUGGCCACAAGUGAGGUUGGUGGAACAAGAAAGGCAAGAACCAUGGUGGUCAGUUUCAUAACCAGGUUCCAAGGCAUAAUUCAGGCCAGAGUUUUAAAAAUGUGAAUCGCCACAAAGGCAAAGCUCACAUGAACAAUGCUCACAGGAACUCUAAAGGAGCCUGCCAUAGGUGUGGUGUCAAUGGGCAUUGGGUGCGUACUUGUCGUACCCCAAAACAUCUUGUGGAUUUAUAUCAAGCCUUCUUCAAGGAGAAAGGUGUCGAGACUAAUUUUCUCGACUAGACUAAACCGAUGGAUAUACCUAAUCCAAUGUGCGACUUAUCAAGGCAGUUGAACACAACUCACCUAAAUGUUUCCAACUUCAUUGUGAAAAGGGGGAAUGCAAUGUAUCGGUUCGUCUGAAUCAUUUAUGUUUGAUGUACUUUUAUUAUGCUGAACUUGUAGUUUAAAACUAGCAUUUCAGAUUCAGUAAAAGUGGCAUGUAAAUUUCCUGUUAUAAACUCUGAUUCCCUUACUCAGAGAGCAUGGAUAAAAACUAUGGUCAUUCUAAAAACAUGAGAAAUGGCGAAGAUAUUUGUCUUGCAGAUUGCGCAACUACGCAUACAAUACUUCGAGAUCGAAAGUAUUUCUCAAGAUUGAUGCUUACAAAAGUAAGGGUAACAACAAUAUCAGGACCUUCAGAUGCAAUUAAAGGCUCAUGGAAAGCCUAAAUUAUGUUACCAAAUGGAACAAUAUUGUCCAUACAUAAUACAUUGUACGCUACUCGAUCUACUUGAAAUUUGUUGAGUUUCAAAGACAUACAUUUAAAUGGAUACCACAUUAAAACGUAAAGUGCAGAAAAUGUGGAGUAUCUAUGCAUUACCUCCAAUGAUACCCAGAAGCGUAUAUUGGAAAAGUUGCAUGGUUUGUCGAGUGGAUUGUAUUAUACAUACAUAAAGACAGUUGAAUCACAUACUAUCAUGAACCAGAAGUUCAUUGAUUCAAAAGUUUACAUGCUUUGGCAUGACUGUCUAGGUCAUCCAGGAUCUACCAUGAUGCAUAGAAUCAUUACCAACUCUAAUGGACAUCCAUUAUUGAGCAGACACAUUGCUAUCUCAAAUGAUAACCCUUGCAAGGCUUGUUCUCAAGGAAAGUUGGUAAUUUGAUCAUCAUAACUAAAGGUUGAUGUUGAAUCCCCAUCAUUUUUGCAAAGAAUUCAAAGGGAUAUUUGUGGACCUAUUCAACCAUUUUUUGGACCAUUUCGAUAUUUUAUCAUUUUGGUUGAUGCAUCUACUAAAUUGUCACAUGUUCGUCUCUUGUCUACUCAAAAUGUAGCUUUUGCGAGACUUCUUGCUCAGAUAAUUAAAUUACGAGCACAUUUCCCAUAUUACCCCAUUAAGUCAAUCCGACUUGAUAAUGCUUGUGAAUUUACAUCUCAAACCUUUGAUGAUUACUACAUGACAUUGGGCAUUGAUGUUGAACAUCUUGUUCCUCAUAUUCAUACUAAAAUGGUCUAGCAGAAGCAUUGAUCAAGCGGCUUCGGUUAAUAGCUCGCACUCUGCUCAUGAAAACAAAAUUGCCAGUUUCUGCAUGGGGACAUGCCAUCUUACAUGUUGCAUUAUUGGUUCGAUUGAGACUUAUAGCCAACCACCAAUACUCCUUAAUACAACUCGUGUUUAGACAUUAGCCAAACAUUUCACAUUUACGACUUUUUGGUUGUGCUUUUUAUGUGCCUAAUACACCUCCUUAACGCACUAAAAUGAGACCUCAGCGUAAACUGAGAAUUUAUGUGGGUUUUGAUUCACCAUCUAUCAUUAGAUAUUUGGAACCCUUGACUGGUGAUAUGUUUACAGCUCGUUUUGCUGAUUGUCACUUUGAUGAGACAGCCUUCCCGUUGUUAGAGGGAGAAAAGACCGUUCCAGAAGAACGAAAAAUGCUGACAUAGGUUGUUCCCACCUUGUCUCAUUUUGAUCCACGUAGCACUCAAUGUGAAAAUGAAGUGAAAAAGAUUGUUCAUCUUUAAAGCAUUGCCAAUCAAAUGCCAGAUGCAUUUAUUGAUGCUAUGAAAGUGACAAAAUCACAUAUACCAAUUGCAAAUGCACAUGCAAGGAUUGAUGUCCAUGUUGGACAAAAUAAAGUGGCAGCGAAUUAUUGAUCUGGUGCACGCCUGAAGCGUGGUAGACCCCCAGCUGGUUCAAAAGAUUCAGCCCCUCCAAAGAGAAAGACAAUGACACAGCUGAAUCCAAAUGAAAUCAUUCAGGAAGAGUGAAUGAAUGACAAAUCUACAAUUCAUGAUUCUGGACUUCCAAAAAAAGAAAAUGUCCUUGAUGAGACACAUGCCCCUGAAGAAACAGCAGUACAUGAGAGCAAAGAAAUCUCCAUAACUUAUGCAUGAACUAAUGAAUUGUAGGAUCAGAAUGAAAUAAUCAUCGACGGUAUGUUCGCAUUCGUAAUAACCACUAAAAUCAUAUUAAGUGAUGAUAUUGAGCCCCGCUUUGUUGAUGAAUGUAAACAGAGACAAGAUUGGCUUAAGUGGAAAGAUGCAAUCUAGGCAGAAUUAAAUUUCUUAGAAAUGCGAAAUGUUUUUGGACCACUAGUCCAAACCCCGCCUGGUGUAAACCCCAUGGGUUACAAAUGGGUAUUCACAAGGAAACGUAAUGAGAAAAACGAGAUUGCAAGAUAUAAAGCACGACUCGUUGCACAAGGUUUUUCACAAAGACCUGGAAUUGAUUAUGGGGAGACAUACUCUCCUAUAAUGGACGUAAUUACGUUCCAUUACUUAAUAAGUUCAGUGGUUUCAAAAAAACGUGACAUGCGACUUAUGGAUGUCAUCAUCGUAUAUCUAUAUGGAGAAUUGGAUACUGAGAUUUAUAUGAAAGUCCCAGAAGGACUUAAGUCGCCUGAAACAACUAACAAAUCACGAGGUAUGCUCUCGAUCAAAUUAAGGAUAUCAUUGUAUGGCUGAAACAAUCUGGACGAAUGUGGUAUAAUCGUCUCAGUGAGUAUUUGAUCAAAGAAGGGUAUAUCAACAAUGUCAUUUGCCCUUAUAUGUUCAUUAAGAAAUCCAACUCUGGAUUUUCUAUAGUGACAGUAUUUGUCGAUGAUAUGAACCUAGUUAGAACCUCUAAAGAGCUCAAUAAAAUUGUUGAAUAUCUGAAAAGCAAAUUUGAAAUGAAAGACCUUGGGAAAACAAAAUAUUUUCUUAACCUGCAGAUCGAGCAUUGUGCUAGUAAAAUUUUGGUCCACGAAUCAACUUAUAUUGAAAAAAUCCUGAAGCGAUUUGGCAUGGACAAGGCUUAUCCACUCAGCACGCCAAUGGUCGUUCGUUCUCUAGACAUUAAGAAAGAUUCAUUCUGUCUAAAAGAAGAUGAUGAACUGGUCCUUGAUCCAGAAGUACCAUAUUUGAGUGCAAUAGGCAAUCUACCAGACCAGAUAUAGCUUUUUCAGUCAACUUGUUAGCAAGAUAUAGCUCUGCUCCAACAAUUCGUCAUUGGAAGGGUGUCAAAGAUGUAUUCCUAUACCUUCGUGGGACAAUAGACAUGGGUUUCUUCUACUAAGAGAAAUCCACAAAUGACCUUAUCCUUGUUAGAUAUGCAGAUGUUGGUUUCCUCUUUGAUUCGCAUAAGGCCCGCUCACAAACUGGAUAUGUGUUCAAGAAUGGAGAUACAACUAUCUCAUGGCGCUCAACAAAGCAAACACUAGUUUCCAUCUUCAAAUCAUUAAGAAAUACUUGUUUUACAUGAAGCAAGUCGUGAAUGUUCUUGGUUAAGAUCAAUGAUCCAUCAUAUUAGGAAUUCAUGUGGUCUAACUUCGAAGACAGACAAUCCAACUGUCAUUCAUGAAGAUACUGCAACAUGUGUUGCCCAAAUGAAGGAAGGAUUCAUCAAGGGCGAUAAGACUAAACACAUAUCUCCAAAGUUUUUCAGCGCACAUGAGCUUCAGAAGGUUAAAGUUAUUGAAGUCAGACAAAUCCAUUCUACUGAAAAUCUGGCAGAUUUGUUCACCAAAUCUAUACCAAAAUGCACGUUUUAGAAGUUAGUGCAAAGUAUCGGAUUACGUCGACUUACCAAAUAGCUGAAUUUGGAGAAUGCAGACUCAGGGGAUAUAUAUAUCAGGGGGAGCAUCCAUGAUACAUGCUUGUUGUACUCUUUUUCCUUUGAUUAGGAUUUUUCCCACUGGGUUUUUCCUAUCAAGGUUUUAACAAGGCAACAUAAGCAUAUUUAACACUAUAUCAACAAUCCAGUAAAAGUUGUACUCUUUUUCCUUCGCUAUGGUUUUUCCCCACUGGGUUUUUCCAAGCAAGGUUUUAACGAGGCAACUAAUGUUGAUAUGUGGCCAUCCAAGGGAGAGUGUUGAAAACAUUAGUAAUUGAAAACAUUGUCAAUGUUGAAACCGUUGGCAGUUUAAUGAAUGCCCACAUAAGUUUUUCAAUACCCACACAAAGCGUUGUAGACUUUGGAAAUUAAGGUGAUCAUAUUUUCAAAGUCAUGUGAUGUAAAUUUCAAACUGUAAAACCCUGUUUGUAUGGAGCCGCUCUAUAAAUAGAGCGCUCCGACUGCAGUUAAAGGAUAUAGAAAGAAUACAGAGAAGAAAGAAAAGAUUUAUAACUUCAGUAUCUAUUCCUCCCUUUUUAUUUGUCAUCCUCUUGUGCUAUAGCUUCAUUAUGAUAUUUUACACUUGCUUCGUUCCUGUCACUAGUAAAGGUUAUCUCUCUAACUUUUACAUAUUUAUAACAAUAUAGAUAUUUUCCUAUACUUAGCUGUUAUUCCAAAUGGUUUUUAUAUUGACUCUUUAUUAUCAAAUUCAAGGUCUUUAAUUUCUAUUCAACCGUUUCAUUCCAACACUCAUAUUGCAUCCGAUAAUAUAACUUUAUAACGUUAUUGAUUAGUAUUAAAAUUUGAGGGUUUGAUUUCCUAACGUUUUCAACCUUAUAUAUAUACUUGUUAAUCUCUAUUGCCUAGAAUGAAAUUACAAUCAUCUCCCCUUCUUUCUUCUUCUAUCCUUUUGGUCCAUAUUCUUGAAAGCUUUAUCAUAUUCUCACUCUCUCCAUACUAAAGGAAAGAAUCAAGUUGUUCACUUGAUCCAUGUAUUGCAAGUGUACGCGUACAAGGAUCAUAGGUUGUUGUAUUUUGGAGGGUGGGGUGCCAUAACCUGCUACACCGAGACAUUAUCUUUGAGGGGCGAAAUCUACUAUUAAGGACAAGGAUUACACGCCUCAACCUAAAAUCUUGUUCUAAUCAAGUAACACCCUAAAAAUUUUAAAUACAUGAAUUACAUAUUCAUCAUAAGAAAUAUGUGGAAAGAAUCGAGAAUUUAUAUUAAUUUAUUGAGUUUAGUCUUAAAUUAAACUAGUUAUGAAGUUUGGAAUUUGGGAAUUAAUUAUUUAAAAUCCGUAGACCUUUUGAGAUCACAAUUUAUAUUUUUGAAUAGAGUCUGAUCUCACCAACGCGUAGGCGCAAACCAUUCGUGAAAUGGAGUUAUAACGAAAGAGUUAUUAGCGUUUAAAAUCAGGGCUAUUUUGGUAAUUUUAUUUCUAUUUAGAAGGCUCCAGAAAUCUGGAGCCAUAAGUUAUGCCACAUGUGUGGAUGUGAUUGAAGAGAAAAAUAAAUGAUGGAUGGUUGUGAUUAAAAGAAAAGAAUAGGAAUGAGGAAAAUGAGGAAGGAAUUGGAGGAGGCUGACCAAUGGGGAGAGAGAACCGGGAGGAGAAAGGAGAGAAAAGAGAAACGAAGGAUCGGGACCUGGGUCUUGGUGACCCGACCCGAUCAGCGCCCGUACAUAAUUUUCGACAGGUUUUCACCCCUUUUUCCGGUGAAUUACAUCAAACAACCACUUGGAAACCCCUCCAUGACCUUGCCUCUUCCUAUCACAUCCCAAAAAUAUAGGGAUUUGGACUUUAAAUCGGGAGAAACCGCACGGUGGGGUGCGGUGGGUGUGUGUUUAAAUCAACUAAAUCUAAAGCAAACUACAUCCAUCUCCACCACCAUUAGACUCCCAUUUAGGUCUGGAACAAUGCUCAAACAAUGGUAGGGGUGGCGGAGCACCAGAGGUGACAUUUGAAGCCACCCAUUUAUAGGGUUUACGGCGGGUCGAGGCAAGUUGGAGCCUUUCCAAGCCAAAUUGGACUUGGCCACAGGUAUAAAGUUUGUUCUACUAUUUGAGAUCUUUAUUUCUAUAAUUGUUGGAAAUUUUUAGGAAUAGUUGAAUUUCCAGCGAGCCGGGGCGGCGGGUGCUGAGGCGCACGGCCAGUGAGCUGACAUUGUGUUUUUAUGCGAAUUUUGUUAUUCUAAUUAUGCUUUUGAGACCUAACUGCAGUGGUUUGAAUAUUAAUACGAUUGUGGUAUAUGUUGGAUUAAAUGAAUAUAUUCAGAUUUGAUUUAAAUUUUAGAAAUGUGAACUACGAAUGACUUGAUCCCUGUUUAGGCUACCUAGGCAGUCUAACAAGAUGUUAGAUGCAGCCAUACAACAAGUGAGAUUAAAUAAUCAAGAAUUAAUAUUUAGAUGGAAUUUUGAUCUAAGAGAGGAAAUGGUUCUAAAUUGGAAGUGAAAUUGUAUGUUUUGGUAAAUGAUUAAUGGUUAUGGAUUACGUGGGAUGAAGGAAAUUAUUUGGAGAAUGAUGAUAGUGAAUUCAAAUGUUAAUUUAAAGAUAUGUUUUGACAUUUAAGAAAAUAUGGAUAGAUUGUAAGAAUUCUAAUUAUUGACUUAGAGGAAUGUGAUUAAUGGAAAUAAAUUAACUAUGAUGGUAAGUUGAGCCUACUAUAAUUAACUCCCGAAAACAUAUAUUUCGAGGGCGGGGUGUUACAUGGAGAGCCACAUAGUUUUGAAUUUCCCUCAAAUGUCGAAGCAUUGAAACUUUGGAGCUGAGUGCUUGUUGGGAUUGGUCCUUCGAGAUUAUUGUACGAGAUAUUGAUAGAUUUUAAGAAAUUAAGGCUUGCCAAUGACAACAGGAUGCUUCCAGACAAAUGAUUCAUGGAGAUGUACAAAUUCUUUAGAUUUUUUAUGUUGGAUAUUUGUUCUGGAAUGUUGUCAGAAAAGUAGUUGCCACUAAGAUCCAAGGUUUGGACAAGGUGUAUUUGGCCGAUCUCAGUAGGUGUUUUGCAAUGAAUGUGAAUGAGAGAUAGGUUUAUUGUUUAUGGAAAGUUGGACAAUCUUCACAGGUAAUUUAUGCCUUCAACGGUGAAGAGAGGCAGGUCAAUAUAAUCGUCUGCUUGAGUUGUGGUCGAUUCAUGUACCAACCUUGGUAGUCCACAAAAUUCUAUUGGAAAUUCACUGGAAAUUUGAUUGUCUGCCAAGCUCAAGAAUAAGAGUUUGGGGAAAAUCCCCAACAAUCUAGAAAUUGGCCCUGUAAUUCUACUACCUACCAAGCCCAAGAUCUCUACAGUCUUAAGUUUUGAUAACCAUAAAGAUAUUGACCAGUGAAAUCACAAUAAAAAAACUCAAAUAUCGAAGAUUUUGGAAACCACCGAUACCAACCAUGCCUUCAUCAGUUGGCAUUUCCUCGCCUUUGAACGAAUACAAAAAGAAUGCAUUAAUAUCUUCAUUGCCCCAGUAAUGUUGGUUAAGCCACUUAGUGAGAGAAAGGACAAAGAUUUUAAUGAAAGAAUUUGAGGUUGUAUUUGUCCCUCUAAAUUAUUUGCAGCCAAACGAAUAACUUUUAGGGACUGACAUGAAUAAAGGCUUGUUGAAAAUGUACCAGUAACGUUGUUUCGACAUAGGUCAUGUUUAUUGAGGUGACUAAGGGCUGGUUUUGUAUUGCUGUGCUUUGAAAAAAAGCUGUUGUGAGAAUAAGCGGCUGUGCUGUGAGAAUAAACGGCUGUGAAAUAAAUCAACAGAGUGUUUGGUAAACUUUUUUGUAAAAGUGCUUUUGGAAAAAAAAAACAGUCUAAUAGUGGGUCUUUUCAUUAAAGAAGCAUUGUAGCUCCGUGUGCUUUGAAAAAAAAACCAGUUUUCCAAAGCUACAAAUAGCAGCUUCAGCUUUUUCCUUUGAUUUCAGCUUAUUCUCACAGCAGCUUCCAAAAUAAGCCUUUUUUUUUUCAGUUUACCAAACACCUAAAACCCUUACAGCUUUUUUUCAUGGGUGUUUUUUUUAAGCACCUCACUCCCAAACUAGGUCUAAGUUUUGAGAAAUUGAGCAUGGAGAUAUCUCCUUCCAAGUUGUUGGCUGCCAUAUGUAUUUCUACAAGGUUUGUGCAAUUCAUCAACGACACAUGGGGGCAAAGAACCUUCAAAAUGGUUGUAAUCAAGAGCCAAGAGUUUCAAUUUGGAGAGCUUUCCAAAAUGGAGAGGGAGCACGCCACUCAACUAAUUAAAGGAGAGGUCAAGGAUUGCGAGGUUGGUGAGGUUGAAGAUUUUCUCACUUAUGGCACCGUGGAGUGAAUUGGAAGGAAAUGUAAUUUCUUCAAGUUUGGUGGCAUUGUAGAUAUCUUUCGGAAGUAACCCUGAGAGGUUAUUGUUACUAGCACGAAAAAUUUGCAUUUGUAAAUAUUCUUUACAUUUCUGCACUUUUAUCAAUGCUCUAACACUGCAUGCAUUGUAAAAAGAGUGUAUCCCACAUUGCGCACUCUUAGUUUAAUAUAUUUUGAUAUGAAAAUGGAUAGUUACAUUUAAUUAGUAAGGGGAAUAAACAUUACCCCUCACAAAACAAGAAAAACAAAAUAAGAAUAAAAUACAAGAAAUGAGGGGGGGACAUAAACCUUACCCUCCUUGCAAAAGAAAAUACAAGAAAAAAAAAAGAAGGGACAAGUAAGGGGGAUAAACAUUACCCCUCAUAAAACAAUAAAAAUAAAAUACAGGAAAUAAGGGGAGACAUAAGCCUUACCCUUCUUAUAAAAGAAAAUACAAGGAAAAAAAAAGGGACAUAGACCUAAAGCAAAUGGUAAUAUACAUAUCCUCGUAGUCUUUAGUAUGAAAAGAAAACCAAUAAAAAGCACAAUCUAGUCUCCUCUAAGCCUCCUUUUCAUCAUGUUCACACGCAUUAUAAUCAUGAAAUAGAGCCUAUCUUGUACAUUGUCAAAGAAUUUAAAAUAUGCAUAUCUCCAUGUCUUCUUAACAAUUAAAGAACCAAACACUCCCCAAAAUCCUACAAUGAAACCUAGUGCGGUAAAAAUAUGCAACCAUGGAAAAUCAUGCUCAUUGUCCACACCUUGGAUGUUCUUGCUAUCUGCAUCAAUGCCCUUAAUUGGUAGACACUCAUUUGGAAGUGGAGGGCCACACAGUUUUGAAUUCCUCUCAAACGCAGAAGCAUCGAAACUUUGGAGCUGAGUGCUUGUUGGGAUUGGUCCUUCGAGAUUAUUGUAUGAGACAUUGAAGGAUCUUAAGAAAUUAAGGCUUGCCAAUGACAACGGGAUGUUUCCAGACAAAUGAUUCAUGGAGAGGCGCAAAUUUUCUAGAUUUUUGAGGUUGGAUAUUUGUUCUAGAAUGUUGCCGAAAAAAUAGUUUCCACUAAGAUCCAAGGUUUGGACAAGGUGUAUUUGGCCGAUCUCAGUAGGUAUUCUGCAAUGAAUGUGAUUGAGAGAUAGGUCUAUUGUUCGUGGAAAGUUGGACAAUCUUCGCGGGUAAUUUUUGUCAUCAAAGUUGAAGAGAGGCAGGUCAAUAUAAUCGUCUGCUUGAGUUUUGGUCGAUUCAUGUACCAACCUUGGUAGUCCACAAAGUUCUUUUGGAAAUUCACCGGAAAUUUGAUUGUCUGACAAGUUCAAGAAUAAGAGUUUGGGCAGAGUCCCCAACGAUCUAGGAAUUGGCCCUGUAAUUCUACUACCUACCAAACCCAAGAUCUCUACAUUCUUGAGUUUUGAUAACCAUAAAGGUAUUUGACCAGUGAACUCACAAUAAGAAAAACUCAAAUAUCGAAGAUUUUGGAAACCUCCGAAACCAACCAUGCCUUCAUCAAAUGGCAUUUCCUCGCCUUCGAACGAAUACAAAAAGAUGAGAGUUUGAAGGCUUUUGCAAUGCAUUAAUAUUUUCAUUGCCCCAGUAAUGUUGGUUAAGCCACUUAGUGAGAGAAAGGACAAAGAUUUUAAUGAAAGAAUUUCAGGUUGUAUUUGUCCCUCUAAAUUAUUGUCAGCCAAACGAAUAGCUCUUAGGGACUGGUAUGAAUAAAGGCUUGUUGGAAAUGUACCAGUAAAGUUGUUUCUACGUAGGUCAAGUUUAUUGACGUGACUAAGUUUCGAGAAAUUGAGCUUGGAGAUAUCUCCUUCCAAGUUGUUGGCUCCCAUAUCCAUUUCUACAAGGUUCGUGCAAUUCAUCAACGAUGGGGGCAAAGAACCUUCAAAAUGGUUGUAAUCAAGAGCCAAGAGUUUCAAAUUGGAGAGCUUUCCAAAUUGGAGAGGGAGUACGCCACUUAACUGAUUAAAGGAGAGGUCAAGGAUUGCGAGGUUGGUGAGGUUGAAAAUUUUCUCACCUAUGGCUCCAUGGAGUGAAUUGGAAGGGAAUGCAAUUUCUUCAAGUUUGGUGGCAUUGUAGAUAUCUUUCGGAAGUAACCCUGAGAGAUUAUUGUUACUAGCACGAAAAAUUUGUAGUUUUGAACACUCUCCGAGUCCAGGAGAAAUGUUGCCACUAAAUUCAUUGUGGGAAAAAUCCAACAGCCUAAUCAAGGGAGAAGAAUGAAGGCAUAUAGAGGAUGGGAUCAAACCUGAGAAGGCAUUGUUGGUGAUGUUGAAACUAGUUAAAUUCCAAGCUUGUUGAAAGAAUGAUGUUGGAAUUGCACCCUGGAAGCGAUUGCUAGACAAAUCCAACGUCUGGAUAUUGUGGGAUGGUAGAGAAAAAGGUAGCUUUCCAGAAAGAAGAUUAAAGCUUAAAUCAAGGAUCUCAAGACGAUUCAAAGACGAGAAGAAUUCAAUUUCAAGUGAUCCGGAAAGUGAAUUGUGAGAGAGAUUCAAGUGGGUGAGGUGUGUGAGAUUUCCUAGUGACGAUGAUGAGGGGAAAAUAGCUCAUUUGAGACCUUUGGAGGAUAAGAGCAAAUGGGUGACCAAACCAUCCUGAUUACAAGUGAUGCCCUCCCAACUACAACAGUUAACUGAAGUCCAUUUUAAAGGGAGAGAAGAUAGGGUGGAGGUGAAGGACACAAGAGAGGCGCGCUCCGUUUGGUUGCAUGCAUGAACAUUUGUAGAGAUGAUGUGUGAGAAUAAGAGGAUAAGAAGAAAGCCAUGAGCCAUUGGGUUAGAAAGUAAGCUGGUCUAGCAUAUAGAUAUGUUUCUUUACAUUCGGAAUUCUCAAAGGUAUAUAUAGAGCAACUAAUUGCA
rnacentral:lncRNA from 1 species